ACAAAAAUGGUGUGGUCGCCAGAACACUUGCUCUAAAUUUUGGUUCUUUCCUCCCGUCUUUAAAAACCAUUAAAAGUUCAUGAUUUGCUACCCUUCUCUUAUCUCCGGCCUCCAUCUUUCACUACUCUUUAUUCACCAAUUAUGAUAGUAAUGGCAAACCGCAUGAGAAUGCUGCUAUUAACCCUUUCCACUGUCAUAACAAUCAACUUCUCAUUAUCAUCAACAAUUUCUGAAGUUUCUAAAGAACAAAUACCAUGCACAAUGUGCUAUUCCUGUGACAAUCCUUGUCAGCCUUUACCAUCGCCGCCUCCGCCUGCUAUCCCUGAAUGUCCACCGCCUCCUCCCCCACCUUCUCCACCGCCACCAGCUAUCCCCGAGUGUCCACCGCCACCAGCUCCUAUUAAUGAGUGCCCUGCGUGUCCAACACCACCGACACCAUUUCCGCUCCUAUUAAUGAGUGCCCUGCGUGUCCAACACCACCGACACCAUUUCCGCCUGUGCUGCCCCCUAAGCAGUCGUAUUGGCCGGGUGCUGGCUAUUCCUUUAAUGGACCACCAGCUGGUUACGGGAACAAUCCAGUGCCUUACUUUCCAUUUGACAAUAACAACCCACCACCUUCUUUCUCUUUCAAAUCCGUUCAUUUGAAGCUGCAGUCCAUUGUUCUCUGUAUUUUUCUUUCGCUUACUUUUCUAUGCUUCUUCUAAAAAUUAACCUCUUAGGCAGCUUGGAACUCAGAGGAGAGGAAAUUCCAUUUAACAAAGCAGCAGGCCCCGGAACUGCUAAUCUAAAAGAAGAAAUAUGGCUUAGCGCCUGGCAGUCAAUUCUAUAUAUGAAGGAUUUUUCUGUUUCCUGUCCCCUGUAAUUGUUCAAUAAAUAUUCAUGCAUGUUAUACAUAUUUAAGAUAGUAAAAUACAUAAAUCUGUAAUCCCAAAUGCGAAUUUAGCAUGUAAUUUUCAUUUUUUAUUCCCCACAUCAAUCCAGUUCAUGCGUGUGUUUGACUGUAACAUCUAGACGCUUGUCUUGUCUUUGAUUAGUUUAAACUCUUCCUUCAAUAAUAGGUAAUUUAAAGGGUAUCAAUUAUAGAUUUGGAGAAAAUUGAAUUUAUUUGUUGAAAUUAAAUUUGAUUUUAUAAUUUAUGUGUCUUAUAAUUAAAGAAAUAAUAGGUAAUUUAAAGGGUAUCAAUUAUAUUUUGUUAAUUUUAUUGUUAACUUAGAAAUUUAGGGAAAAUUGAUUUUUAUGGAAUUAAUAAUAAUUAAAAUGUAUUAAUUUAGGUUGAAUAAGUUUGAAUUGAAUAAAUGAUGGAUAACUAGUUUGGUGCUAAUUAUUUUUUGUUAAUUUUUUUGUUUAGUUCACAUAUUGAUGGAAAAUGAAAUUUGUGUAGAAUUGAUAAUUAGUUAUUGGAUUACAAAUUCAUUUUUAAUAAAAAGUUGUCAUCAAAAUUUUAUAUAGGUUUUAUGAGCAAUGAAUGCUCGUUAUUGGAUAUUUCAAGAUUCUAAAGAAGGGUUGUAUAGGCAAGAUCAUCUUAAAAUGUUUGGGGUUUUAUUAUUUUUAUACUUUCUAAUCCAAAGAAUAUUAGCGGGAGUGUGAUUAGAUGUCUAUGUGCGAAGUGGAAAAAUAAAAAUAUUCAUCAUAACGAUGUUGUGACGAUGCAUAUAUUUAAAAAAUAAUUCGUUGAGAAAUACUUAUAUUGGUUUGUACACGAAGAACCCUAUGUUUCUUACAAAACCAUGUUAGAAAAGAUGGCUGACUCAAUUUUAACUUCCAACAGCAUACAAGGUUCACGUAACCUUCUUUUAGGUGAAGAACUAAAAGUCUAAUGAAUUGUUAUGAGAUGGGUUCACAACUUAUAGUAAGUUUCUAAUUAUUGAACAAAUAUUUACCAUCAAGUUAAAUUAUGAAUUAAGUGAGGUUGGUUAUGACUGGAUCAUUGAACAACAAAAAACAUGUUACUUGAAGGGAAUAAGCUGAAAAAUAAUUAUUAUACUGCAAAAUUCAUGAUGAAAUCUCCUUGACCUAAGAUACUAAAAAAAAAAUCCACACUUUUGCAUGUUAUAUUAAAGUCAAUAUACAAAUUUUACCUAAUAUAGAACUUGUCCCUAUUUUAUUUUUCAUUUUACAACGAUCCUCUCUCUCCCAUUUCGAAUACGUUUGGGUAAAAUUUAAUUUUUUUUUUUUGCUAAAAUUUAAUAUGUUUUGUAUGUUUUAGAUCGUUUUGAUGUGCUGAUGUCAAAAAUAAUUUUUAAAAAAUAAAAAAACAUCAUUGACAUGCAUUUCGGCACAAAAAGUUAUUUGAAAAGGAACCGCAACCACAACCACACUGCCAAAUACUUCAUCAAAUCCUGGCAAGCCCUCCUUAAAAUCUGGCCACCCAUUUUGCCAUCUUUGAUGCAACCUCUCUCCAAUAGCAUAAGCUUUUCUCUCUUGAUUACAUGUCUUGUCAAGCUUCACUCCACUAAGUAAGCAAACCAACUCAUUUAUGUUUUAAGUUAAUUUACUAAAAUUUAUAUGUAGUAUUUAUAAUUUUCUUCUAUUUUUAAGUGUUUUACUUGUUUUAUAAUGACAAUUUUUUUUCUAUUAAUAUAUGAUCCGUAUUCUAGAGUUUGUUUGGGUUUUGGAAGAGAUGAAUUUAAUUUAUCACUUGAUGAAAUUGAGUGUGAUUUUGUAACUUAGGUGUGUUAGAAUUGAAGAAAUGACGGAUAAUUUAAUAGUUACCAAUAAUUUUGUGAUAAUUUUAUGGUAAAGUUGGAAAUUUAAGAAAAAAAUGAUUUUGUAUGGAAUAAUAAUAACUAAAGGUGUUAAUUUAGGUUGAAUAAGUUUGAAUUGAAAAAACAAUGGAUAACUAGUUGGGUCUCUUUUAGUCAAUUAUGAUUUUUGUUGAAAAUUUAAGAAAAAUUAAUUUAAUAUAUAAUUUAGAACAAUUAUGGUAUUAAUUGAUAUUAUUAUUUUAUUGAUGAUAUUAUGAUAUGAGAAUUUAUGAUGUUUAUGGUAAAGAUAGUGAUUAUGAUGAUAGUAGUUAUGAUGAUAACAUUUAUAGUGACAGUUAUAAUAAUAAUAAUAAUAAUAAUAAUAAUAAUAAUAAUAUCGGUUAUAGUGAUGAUGUUUGUUAUGGUAAUUAUAAUAUUGAUAGUGACUAUGAUAUGUCAACUAGUGAUGGUGGGAAGGGUGGUGAUAAUAACUAGUGACGGUGACAGUAAGGUGAUGAUUAUUAUUUUGACAGUGGAGACGUAGAAAAGUUAUGAAGAGAUAAUGAUAAAAUGAUGAUUAUAUUGAUAAAAAAUGAUAGUGGUGGUGAUGUGGUCGACAAUGGUGUGGUAGUGGUGAUAAAAUAAUGGUUAUAUUAAUAAACGUUUUGAAUUGUGUUUAUUAUUUCAUUCUAGGUACCAUGUAUUUUAGAAGAAACAAGUUUAAGUUCAAGUUCAACAAAAGCGUUACUAAUUUUUCAAGUAAUAAUAAUAGUGUUAGUGAUAAUGCCGUGAAUUUAAAGAUAAUUAUGAAAAAGCAUAUAAUGUAGAAGUUAUCAAUCAAUGCUAUGGGUGUAUUGGGCUCAACUAAGUGCACCUAUUAAUUUAUCUUUUUGACCUUUUAGUUGAGGAUUUCCUCCUUCAUGUUUUUUAACACAUUUGAUGUGAUGUACCGGGUAUAUAUAUUUUAUAUUAAUUAUUUGAUUGUACUUUAAUUGUAAUUUUAAUGAUUUCUUGCUUGAAUCUUAAUGUAUUGUAAAUGUUUAUGUAUGAAAUUUUGCUUUAUUGUUGAAUACUACUAUUUAUAUGAAUUUAUUAUUUAAAUCUUCUAACCAUGAAAACCCGCAUGUCUAGUGUAAUCCAUUUAACAUUAUUUACAGUAACAAGUUUUGUAUUCAAUCAACAAUUUAUAAUAACAAUGAAAACUUUUUAAAUAUCGAUCAAAUAUUUUGGUGGCAUCGUGCAAUUUGUGUAGGAGUGCCUCUACCAUUGCGUUGUCACGAUGAUAUUUUUCUGGUGCCGUUGUUAUUUGUUCGGAAAGGAGGACACAUGGGAGGGGAUGAACCGGCCUCGGUCCCCUUUUGCACUCGUGAUACUUACUGGCUACCCUUGUGGGUGGAUUGACUCAAAAUAUGGAAGGAAUAAGGGCUGCCAUUUUUUAAUUUGUUCUUGUUCGUCUUUUGAUAAUGGUGGCGUAGAAGAUAAAAAAAACCAGGUCAUAGUACAGUCACCAAUACAUUUACACAUGGCCGGUGUGCCCUUCUUCAUUGCUAAAUACCAACCACCACCAUUUUUUUCAGCACCAUUCUCCCCAUCCUCAGUCCUCCCAAUCCCUUUUCCCUCCCUCAAAAAUCUUAUGAACAACAACACCAGUUUCUAAGGAUCCUAUCACCAUCAUUAGAAAUUAAAAUGAUUAACCCCAGCUCCCUAUCAGUAUCAUUCUUAAUUCUCUUCAUUUUGCACACCGAUUACUUUUCAUCAACCACAUCGAACAUUACAGGAGUUUCCAAGGACCAAAUACAAUGUACAAUGUGCUCUGCCUGUGAAAACCCAUGUCAACCCCUUCCAUCUACUCCUCCACCACCACCCCCUGUCUCCACUUGUCCGCCUCCGCCAGCGGUUGUCUCAGGCUCCCCACCGCCACCAUCAAUGCCAAAUUCAGGCACAAUUUACUACUCGCCACCGCCACCAUCAAUGCCAAAUUCAGGCACAAUUUACUACUCGCCACCGCCACCUAAUUCAGUGCCCACGUACGCGUACUCCCCUCCGCCACCACCUGCUGAUGUUGCUGGAUUUUAUCCGCCGCCAAGAUAUGGUAACUAUCCAGCGCCUCCGCCACCGAACCCUAUACUUCCUUACUUUCCAUUCUAUUAUUAUAACCCUCCACCAUCGUCUUCUCCUAACUCUGUUCUCUUGAAAAUGAACCCCAUUGUUUUUUUCAUUUUUCUUCUUCUUUCUUUCUUUCCUCUGUUGCUUCUAAAUUGAUCAGAAACUCAUUAACCGAUAAAUGCAGAGGUUUUUCUUUUCUUUUCCUUAUUAAAAAAUAAAAAUUUCAGUUAAUUUCUGUACUUACAGAUAUUUUUUUUGAAAGUCAUCCAAUUUAUCGUCCUUUUUUUUUAUAUAAAAAAUCUACUUAGAAAUGCCUGAUGAGACGCGGAAGCUUUUCUUUUGUUACGGGCUAGAAGAAGCAGGAUAAAUGAAGGCUGCGGGGUCAGAGAAAUGUCUACCACCAUGCUACAUGUGUAAUUCUCGAAAGAUGUAUUUUUUUGUUGCUCAAAGAAAAAAAAUUAUGUAGAGUUGGGAUUUUCAUGUGAAAAGAAGUAUUCUCCUUGAGAUACAAAAGAUGGAAAGAUUGUUUGUAUUUGCUGUGAAACGGUGUUUUGUAAUUUUUUAAAAAAUUAUUUUUGUUUAAAAUUUAAUUUUUUAUAUUUUUAAAUUAUUUUAACAUAAAAAUUAAAAAAAUAUUAUUUUUAUAUAUUUCUAAAUAAAAAUUAUUUUAAAAAAUAAUUGUUAUUACAUUCUCAAGUACGAAAUGGAUGAUGUUAUUUUUACCUUUUGAAUUAGUUGUUUGUUAUUCUCUAUAUUUAAAUUAAUUUUAUUAUAAUUUUAUGAUUUCAUCUUUAUUUAAUAUUAUCAUAAAUCAAGGAUUUUUCAGGGAACUAUUUUAAAAAAUAAGAUCCUGAAACUAGACGUGCUAAUGAUACCAGCAGUAUACAUCUUCUAAUACGUUAGGAAAUAUCCAUAGCUGAAAAGAAAAAAAAAGAGUAAGAAAACAUAAAAUAUAAAUAAAAAAAAUUAGCAAUCCAUUUUAAGAAAUUGAAAUCUAUUAGGUUUGAGAGAAUAUAUUAUAAUAUUAGAUUUCAUAUAUAAUCUCUGAAUUUACUAUUUAUUGUAGGCUAAACCCAUAAUUUGCCUUUUGUUUUAUCCCAAGAGUAAAUUAUAAAUUAGUCUCUUUAGUUUUUCAAAAUGAAUUAAGUUGUUUUUCUAGUUUUAGAAAUUAAUUAAUUAAUCCCUUAACCAAUACUGAUCAUUUUUAAUUUUUUAUUUCAAAAAAUACUUUCUUUUCUCAUCAAUCUUUUUCAUAUGAUCUACUUUUUCCAUCCUCUAAAAUAAAAUUAAAAAAAAAAGAACAUGGAAUGGACAAAAUUAAUUAGAUUAUAAAAUGUAGAAUCUAAUUAAUUAGUUUUUGGAAACAGAAAAACUAUUUAGUUCGUUUUGCAAAACUAGAAAUUAAGAUUAAUUUAUAAUCUACUCUUAUCCCUAAGCAGUCUCUAUUCUGUUAAUCCAAUCAAACAAAUCCAUUGUUUAAUGUUUACGAAAAAUUAAAAAAAAAAACUGCAUGGUCUCGAAAUCUCUGUGAAAGUAGAUUGGAUUCUUAUCGGCAAAUGUGCCAUCAUUAAUUUAUCAGCACUUUGAAGGCGAAGGAAAAGAUAGGGUCAGGUCAAGCUUUAGAGGUUCUUUUAAGAAGAUCCUCGUCUUAAAAAAACAAAGAGACGGAAAUGAUUGAUUGGCAAGGUUCCUAAAGGUGGUAACGACGUGGGAGGUGGAUUACAGUCGAGUUUUGCACCUCUGGAGGUCCAUGUGCUUUGUUUGGUUGGCAACCGAGGGCGGUGGCCCCGGGGAGAGCCGGCUUGAAUAUAUGCCCUCGCACAUGCCACCGUUCUAUUUUUAUUUCCCCUCUAAAAUGGAGGAGAGGCGAGGACGAGGGCUCCUGAGACUAAUCCAAACUUCGAGUCUUAUUUAGAUGUGAUUUAAGGUAGAUCUUUCACAGUGAAAAGCAGUUUGGUUUUGGUUUAAAUCUUUGUGUUAAAGAUGGAUAAGAUUUUGAAAUUAGUCUUAGGCGAUGUUUGUUUCUCGGAAAGUAGUUUUCGGGAAAUCACUUUCCAAACUUUCAUGUGUUUGUUUGUCAUUAAAAAAGUUGGUCAACGAAAAACACUUUCCAGUCAACGGAAACACUUUCCGAUCAAUGAAAAACACUUUCCAGUCAAAGAAAAAUUUGGUUUGGUUUCCAGAAAAAUGUUUUCCCUUUUGGCUGUGUUUGUUUUCCGAAAAGUGGUUUCCGAGAAAUCACUUUCCAAACUUUCCCGUGUUUGUUUGGCAUUAGAAAAGUUGGUCAACGGAAAACACUUUCCGGCCAAAGGAAAAUUUGGCUUGGUUUUCAGGAAAGUGUUUUCCUAGAAAAUUUAGGCAGAAAACACUUUCCGGAAGUUAUGAAAAAUUUAGAAAUGUCAUUAUUUGCUGAUUAUAUCAAAUUUGAUCCUCAAACUUUUAACUGCUAUAUAUAAUUUGUUUUGAAUAUUUAUUUUUCAAUUUUAUCUCUUAAAAUUUAAUUUUUAUAUUAACUUUGAUCGUUAUUUUUAUAAUUGCUAUUUGCUUUUUCCUCAUCAUUUUUUUAUUGAAAUUUUUUAUCUAUUAAAUUUGGUCCUUAUUCUUUUGAUUGUUAUUUAUUUUAUUUGAAAUAAUUUAUGAAAUGUUAAUUAUUAUUAUUUUAAUUUCUUCAUCUUUCAUUUUUUUUUUAAUUUUUUAGAUUUGAUCUCUAUUAUUUUGAUUAUUAUUUAUUUUAUUUGAGAUUGUUUAUAAAACUAUAUAUUUUUUCAAUUUCAUUCUCAUUCAACUUUUUAAUUUGUAAGAUUUGUUCCUCAUUAUUUUAAUAAACUUGAGAAAAAUAAAACAUUAAUAAGUUAUUUUCCAGCUCAUUUUCCAUGACAUAACCAAACACUGGAAAGUGUUUUCCAACUUAUUUUUCAUUACACUACUAAAUAUUAGAAAAUACUUUUCUGAAAUUUACUUUCCCGAAAUUCACUUUUCAAAAAAAACAUACUUUCCAGCAAACAAACGGGCCUUAUAUGUGAAAAUCAUUCAUUCCAAGUAGUCUGAUCAUGCAGCUCAUAAACCUGUUGUAUUCGCUAUUUCCUUCAAUUCUAGCAUUAUGCGUCAUCUUACGAUAUUAUUCAAAAAACACACACAUACAUUGCUCUAUUUGGGCUUGGUAAAUGCCAUUUUCCUUAUUCAAUGUAUUCUCCCCCCUCGGAAUAAUGCAAUUUCUUGAGAACGUUCAACAAGAUGAAGUGAUCUCAAGGUCUUUCUGGAAAAGAAUAAAGAUAAUUCGGUGAGAACAACACUAACUUACUCCAUUUUAGGUAGCAUUGAUUGCAUCUUUGUCACUGUUAUGGUGUGGAAACCCAGGUUUCUUCUCUCCCUCUCCCUAAUUCAUGCGUGAAUGUGACUGAAAGAACAACGCUCGAUCGACACUUGACAGCAUUCAGAAAACAGCCACUGAUUUCCAAUAUUCCCUGUGGUCCCUCAUAAUAAGUGAGAGCAUGAAUCCUUCCAUCUACCAAGGUUUUCUUUCCAAAUGCAUUUGCUCUCAUUUCAGCUGCAAUCCCUCUAACCGUUUCAGAACCAACCAAAUUUUCCAAUGUUAAUUAAUUAGUCCCAGACUCACGUAUCGGCGUUGCAAAUAAGCAAUUACUGCUGACAAAAAAGUCAGUUAUUGGUUUUUUUUUUAAUUCAUUUUAAAAACAGACGGACGCUUUAUUGGUUUCAUUUUUAAAAUAAAUAGAUAUAAGAUGAAAUAAGAUUAAAUUCAGAAUCCAUUGAAAAUGAUAAAGAACAUUCAUUUCCCUUCCCAAGGUUGCCUAGUUUUUUUUCCAAUUGAUGCUAUAUAUAUCAAGUUCAGUGUUGUUGUUCAUCUUAAAAAACGUUUUAAUAUUAUUGUUAUUUUUUUUUAUUAACGUGGGUGUUCAGGCGAGCUUACGCGCACCUCAACUAAUCUCAUGAGCCCUAAAGCUAACAACCAUGUAAGUCUCCAAUGGCCCUCAGGUUUAUGAAACUUUAACUGGUGAUCUCUAAAGAGUAAACCUAGAGUCUAACCAGUUAAACUAUAUUCUUCGGGGUUGUAUUAUUGUUUCUCAUUACACUAGACAUUAACUUGUGAACUUUAAAUUUUUCAUCUGAAAUUUUAGGAAGAAGCUUGGAAGAAGCUUGGUUUGAUUUAUUCACUGUAAGGAUGACAAUAGGUAUUUAAGAGUCUAUUUUCAACUAUAUUCAUAAAUGAGUAACGAAAAUUCUCACAUACUCGUACCUAAUUCAUAAAGAUAUCCAUAUAAGUAUUUAUUAUUUAAAAGCUAUUUAUUAUUCAAUAUAAAAUAAAACAUAGUAAUCUAUAUAUACACACAUUUGAGGUGUGUGUAUUAAAUGAUAAAAUUAUAAAUGUAGUGUGUGUAUAUAUAUAUAUAUAUAGGAUUAAAAUAUUAAGAUGAUUUUGAGAUACAUCAAGGGUAUCUCAGAUGUUAUAUUAUGUUAUAGAUUAAAAUUCACUAUCAGAGGUUACGUUGAUUUAUAUUUUGUUGGUGACCUUAAGAGAGGAAAAUUCAUUUAAAGCUAUGUGUCCAUGAUUGUAGGAAAAAUUGUGAGUUGAGUUUCUAAAUUAAAAUUUUUUGUAGCUUUAUUCAUAACAUAAGCUAAGUACAUGACAACUACCCAAGGUUGUAAAGAAGCAAAACGACGAAGAAGACUCAUGGAGGAGCUUGGGCACAAACACGAAAAGAUUUUAUUGUAUUAUGAUAGUCAUAGUGUCUUGUAUAUUGUAAGAAAUCCAACGUUUCAUUUAAAAACAAAACACGUAAAUGUCCAAUAUUAUUUUGUUCGUGAAAUGACAAAAGAUGGAAGUGUGGGUUUUCAAAAGAUUUACAUCAAGAAAAACCUAAUAAAUAUUUAGACUAAACACUACCAGAAAAUUGAUAAAUACAAACGGAAAUACCGAGGGAAUUACCGUGGGAAAAAAAAUUAAAACAAAGCAAAAAAAAAUGAUGACGUGUCAUUUUUACCAACAGAAUUACCGACGGAUUUACCGAUGGAAUUUCUUCCGUCGGUAAUUCUGUUGGUAAAUUUGUUGGUAAAAAUAUGAACACUGUUCAUCAUGUCAAUUACAAAGGGAAUCACCGACGGAAUUGUCUGUCGGUAUUUUCCAGAGAGCUCCAGAACUGUUCACAUUCCAAUUGCACUGUUAAUUGUUGUUCUUUACGGACAAAAUCACCGACGGAUUGAAAAGUCGUCGGUGUUAUUUGGCGGUUUUCUGAAAAAAUUCAAUUAAUUUAAAAUUUUCAUUUAAAUAUUACAGACGGAAUCACCGACGGAUUGAAAAAUCGUCGGUAAUUUUUUGGCGCUUUCUAUAAACUUUUUACGAAAUUGAAAAUUUAAAUUAAAUAUUACCGAUGGAAUUACCGACGGAAUAAUUAAAAAUAUUAAUAUUCAAUUAUCCGUCGGUAACACGCCCCAAUAAAAAACCUGAAUCCCCUUAUUUCACAAGAGACAGACCCAUUUCUUAUUCUUCUUCUUCUUCUUCUUGUUCUUCUACUUCUUCUUCUUCUACACUAUAUGUAAAAAACAUCAUUAAGGUAUGUCUUCUUCUUCUUCUUCACUAUAUGUAAAAAACAUAAUUUCUUAUCCAUUUCUUUCUCUUCUUUUCUCUCCUCUAUCUCCUUUUCUUUUCCUCCAUGCUUGGGUAUGUCUUCUUAUUCUUUCUUCUUUUAUCCUUUUAGUUUUUUUUUAAUUAAUAUGCUUAACGAAAUUUUUUUUCUCUCCUUAGCUUCACUUGCAACUACAUUAAGGUAAGAUUUUUCUUUUUUCAUGAUUUUUUUCACUAUAUUUGUUUUUUAUUUUAUUUUUAAUUGUUUUUGUUCUUAAUAAUUGUAUAAAUGUUGUUGUGAGAUUUUUUUUUUCAUAUGAGAUCAAUUUUUAGUAGAUUUAUUUAUAGGAUUUUUAAAUUUUUAGCAAUUGCAACUUUAUUUUUUUCAUAUGAAUUUUUUUAGUUGAAUUUAUUUUUUUGUUUUAUUUAUUUGUUGCAAAUUUGUUUGAGUUGAUUUUCUUAUUCUUUUUUCCAAGCAUUUUGAGUAUAUAUUAUACAGUGUUAAUUUAUGUUAAUUUAAUUAUUUUAUAAUUUUAUAAAAUGAAUUUUUUUAAAAAUGUUUUUAAAUAAUUACCGACAGAAUUACCGAUGGAAAUUCCAUCGGUAAUUCCGUCGGUAAAUCCGUUGGUAAUAAAAAAAUAUUAUUACCGAGGGAUAUACCGACGAAAUGAAGCGGAUAAAUUUAUUUUUUAUUACCAACGGAUUUACCGAUGGACAAAAAAUUACCAACGAAAGAUUCACCGACGGAGCAUUUCCGUUGGUGAUUCCGUCGGUAAAUUAAUUACCGACGGAAUAUGUGUUUUAUGUCGACGGAAAAAUUUUGUCGGUAAAACUGUUAAAUCUUGUAGUGAAACUAGCAACACUAACAAGUAUAUAUAGUGUAUAACCUUAUAUGGCCUAGUAGAAACACAGGUAGCAUAAAGAUAAAAAAAAUAUAUAAAAAAUAAAUAAUCAAGUGUGAAGACAUGAUUAAAAUCAAAAUUUCCAUCAAAAUUCUCAAGUGGAAGAAUAUUGAGCGUGCAUGCCGGUUGGCACUGAAAGUUGCUCAAUUAUGGGCAACUUUCGAUGCACCAUUUGUUUGAUGCCUUUUAAUGAGGGCAAGAUGGGAAUCUGCAUUACAUGCCUUUGAUGCACAACAUACAAGAGAGAGAGACGACUGAAGGAGAGAAAUUUCAUAAAAUUAUGAGAUAUUUGGGAGAAUGUAUGUGAUAUUUUUUUUAUUUAUGUGGGUGUUCGGACCAGCUUAUACGCACCACGACUAAUCUCACGGUCCACUAAACAUCCUGCAAACCCAGUGAACAUGUAAGACACCGCGGUGAUGACAGGCGUGCACAAUGAGGUUCGAACCCGGAUGCAGAGGAAGAGAACAAGUCUCUACCAUCACUAAGCCAAUACCUCAAGUGCGUACGUGAUAUUUUUAUUUCUAUUGAAUGAGAGAUUUUCAAUGAUUUUUUUAUUAAAAAAAAGUGAUUAUAAUUUCGAUGUUACAUAGAAAAAUUCUUUUAUACUUAGUCGUAAAUAUAGCUAAAUUUAAAUAAAUUCUUCAACUUUUCUUUUUUUCUUUUCUUUUCUUUUCAAAAGGUACAUUCUGAGCUGCUAGUAAAAAUCCUCGAUCUUAAUAGCGCUGCCAGUCUACCACUAUAACACAUUCCAUCAUCGCUCAAUUGUUUUACUGUAUUUUUAGUGUUUCGGCAGGUUACUGUCAAGUCUAUAUAUGUGGUAGCUCCUGCUAUUAGAUUGUUAGAAUGUGCAAAUCAAAUAACAAAAUUAAUAAGCCUACUAAUAUCUCUCAAGAAUUAAUGGGCUGUGAAUGGAUUUUGCCUAGAAUUUUAGAAGCAUUUUGGUUCUAUAUCCCAUUUUCCGUCUAGCUUCCGGCACCCUUUAACCACACUCGUCUAAUUACCCAAAACAUUAAUUAAGGACAAAUUAAUAAACCCUUAAUUAUGUGCUAUUUGAUGAAUAGAAUGUAAAGUGAAGAAUCAUUAAUUUACGACAAAAAUUAAUUGCAACAUGGCAUGCAUUAAUUGGGCCAAUUAUUUAUCCAUUAAUUUUAGCAUUUUAGUUCAUGUUAUCAGUAAAUUAUUUUAGUUUAUAUGAAUGGAAUUAUAUCUUCAGACAAACUCUACUAAUAAUAUUAAAAAAAAAACUCAUUAAUAAAAAGUUAUCAUAAAUGUUUUUCCAUAUCUAUAUUUUUAAUAUUUUGUGCAUGUGUAAUUGAAAUAAAUUCAUUGAAAUAAAAGAAUUCAAAAAAAAAAAUGCUAUUAUUAUCAAGUUAGAAGUCAAUGAAGACCUCAUAAGAUUUUUAGUCAUUUAUGUAUUUGUGUUAUUUAUGGACUUUGCUUGAACAAAGGACUAAUUGAAUAAAAAUAUAAUUCACAAAUUUGAGUUUUUAUCAUACAAUCAAACCAAUUUUUAUUUUAAAUAAAAAUGACAAGAUAUUUUCUUAAUUAAAAUAGUUAUUUACAUGCAUUUUUCUUCUUUUUUUUUCCUUGAAUGGACACGAAAUUCUCUUGUAUGGUACAAUAUAAAGAAUAUUGUUUUAACUAUGCUUAUAAAAUAAAAUUAUACUAAAUUUCUAAAGCAUAUAUUUUAGAUUUUUUUAUUAACAUGGGUGUCCGGGCUACUUUGCGCGCACCUCGACUAAUCUCACAGAUCCUAAAGUUAAUGACCAUACAAGCCUCCAGUGACCACCAUAUUAGCAACCAUAGAGCUCGAACCUGAGACUACAGGGAAGCAAACUUCUUGGUCCAAAGUUCUUACCACUAGAACACCUUUUAGAUAAUUAUAUAUUUUAGAUUUUUUAUAAUAUAUAUAUAUAUAUAUAUAUAUAUAUAGUAUUUCAAAUUAAUAACUAUUAAAUUCAUGAAAAAAGAGUAAAAAUAUAUAGUUGGAUGAUAUAUUUGCAAAUUACAUGUCAAGAAAAUUUAGCAUAUAAUACUAUUCGUUUCCGCAACACGUUGUAUAUCCAUGGCAAGAUCACAAGAACUUCUUGAAUCCAUACGUUUCUGAGUGUUCUGUGAGGUGGUGCCUAUUAAAAGCACCAUUCCUUUUAGUUUUUUCUUGGUUAAUAUCACGUACGUAUGGUGGGUUGGUAGCUAGAGUCUGCGGCCAUUUUUAUGGCAGAUGUGGACGGAUGCUUGAUUUUCUGGUUGAGUGGGAGGGUGGAAUUAAUAGAAUGUUUGUACUUGAGUGUGAAAUUUAGUAAUUCGGAUUUUUGAUGGAUCAUACCCUCUUGAAGCCUCGCCUUUCUAGCUUCAAGACACCUCGCAUGGUCUAACGAGGAUAGUUUCUCCCCUUUCAGGUUGAUUAAAUUAAGAAUAUUCCAACCAUCUAGGUGGUGACCCAGUAAUAAAAGCUUAGAACUAAGAGGUUUGCUCUCUUUGUGGUCUCAGGUUCGAGCCCUGUGGUUGCUCAUAUGAUGGUCACUGGAGCCUUACAUGGUCGUUAACUUAAGGACCCGUGGAAUUAGUCGAGAUGCGCGCAAGCUGGCCCGGACACCCACAGUAAACUAAAAAAAAAAAUUAAAAGUAUUCCGAUGAAUGAAGGAGAAAACCAGUACUACCCAGAUUGUAUUAAGAAAAAACUAAAACUGCUCAGUGUUUCACUGUGCAAGUCCACAGUGAAACGCUGAGCAGUACUCUCCUUUUUUUCUUUCUUUUUUUCGUUUUUUUUUCCCAUUUUUUUUUCUGUUUUUAUUUUUUUCCCUUUUUUUUCUUUUUUUUUUCGUUUUUAUUUGUUUUUAUUUUUUUUUUAUUUUUUCCCAUUUUUUUCUGUUUUUUUUUUUUGGUUUUCUAUGCCUUUAUGGGUUUUUUUUUUUUUGCCUUUUUCUUUGUGUAUUUUUCUUUUAAUGAAUUUUUUUUGUUUAAUUUAAUUUUUUAAUGUUAAUUUUUUUAUUUAGUUAUCAAAUUGUUAAUUUUUUUAUUUAGUUAUCAAAUUUUCAUAACACGGAUCCCGAGUUUGACCGGUUAACCUGAUUUGACGAGUUAACCCGAAUUUUUUUUCUUUUCUUUUUAAUUAAUUGUAACAUAUACUAAAACGGAUCAGUGUUUUACUGUUGACUGCAUUUUNNNNNNNNNNNNNNNNNNNNNNNNNNNNNNNNNNNNNNNNNNNNNNNNNNNNNNNNNNNNNNNNNNNNNNNNNNNNNNNNNNNNNNNNNNNNNNNNNNNNNNNNNNNNNNNNNNNNNNNNNNNNNNNNNNNNNNNNNNNNNNNNNNNNNNNNNNNNNNNNNNNNNNNNNNNNNNNNNNNNNNNNNNNNNNNNNNNNNNNNNNNNNNNNNNNNNNNNNNNNNNNNNNNNNNNNNNNNNNNNNNNNNNNNNNNNNNNNNNNNNNNNNNNNNNNNNNNNNNNNNNNNNNNNNNNNNNNNNNNNNNNNNNNNNNNNNNNNNNNNNNNNNNNNNNNNNNNNNNNNNNNNNNNNNNNNNNNNNNNNNNNNNNNNNNNNNNNNNNNNNNNNNNNNNNNNNNNNNNNNNCACAAUGAAACAUUGAUCCGUUUCGCAAGGCAAUAUCACGAAUUACUUAUUUUUUUUAGCUGUUUUUUUAUGCCUUUCAGGAUUUUUUUUUUGCUUCUUUCUUUAUUUUUUUUCUUCUAACAAAAGGUUUUUGUUUAAUUUAGUUUAUUAAUGUUAAAUUUUUUUUAUUUAGUUAUCAGACUUUCAAGACACGUUUUCCGGAUUUAACGGGAUAACCUGAUUUGACAAGUUAACCCAGAAAUAUAUUUAUUUUGCUUUUUUUCUUUUUAAUUAAUUUUUUUCAUUUAGUUUAGUUUGUUAAUGUUAAAUUUCUUUCUAUUUAGUUAUCAGACUUUCAUGACACAUAUCUCGAGUUUCACUGGUUAACCUGGUUUCACGAGUGAACCCAGUUAAUUCUGGGUUGACCCGUCAAAUUUUUUUUUGUUUUUUAUUUUCAUAAUUUUUUUUGAUUAAUUUAGUUUGUUAAUGUUAAAUUUUUUUUAUUUAGUUAUCAGACUUUCAUGACACAGAUCCUAGGUUUAACGGGUUAAUAUGGUUUGACGAGUUAACCCAGAUUUUUUUUUAUUUUUUUUUUAAUUUUUUUCGUUUAGUUUAGUUUGUUAAUUUUCACUUUUUUUUAUUUAGUUACCAGACAUUCAUGACACGGAUCCCGGGUUUAACGGGUUAACCUGGUUUGACGAGUUAACCUGGAAUUUUUUUUUUGCUUUUUUUUUUUAUUUUUAAUUAUUUUUUUUUCGUUUAGUUUAGUUUGUUAAUGUUAAAUUUCUUUCUAUUUAGUUUUUUUUUUCUUAGAGGUUUUUUUCUUUUAUUUUUUCUUUUUAAUUAAUUUUAUUUAAUUUAUUUAGUUUAUUAAUAUUAAAUUUUUGUCUAAGUAGUUCUCGGCGGAUGCCUUUAGUUUUUUUUUGUUGUUUUUAUGCAUUUGACCGUGGACUGUACAGUACAGUCCUCAGUAAAAAGGCUCAUAGUUUAUUUUUGUUUUUUUCUUUUUAAUUAAUUUUUUUUAAUUUAAUUGUUAAUGUUAAUUUUUUUUCUAUUUAGUUAUUAAACUUUCAUGACACGGAUUCCGGGUUUGACAGGUUAACCUGGUUUGACGAGUUAGGCCAGUUAAUUCUGGGUUAACCCAUUAGUUUGUUUUUUUUCCUUUUUAAUUAUCAAACUUUAACGAUGCGAAUUCAAGGUAUGACGGGUUAACCUGGUUUGAAGGGUUAACCCAGUUAAUUCAUAUUCUUUUUCUUUUUCUUCAUUAGUUUUUAUUUUCCUGUUGGUUUUUUUUCUUUGUUUUUUUCUUUUUAACUAAUCUAUUUAAUUAUCACACAUUUAUGACACGACCUUGCAGCUAGACCCACGUCCAAUGCUAUUGGGUCUGGUAUUGCAGUCAAACCCACUUAAAUUUAGACCAUGCAAGUUUAAUUUUAUUAUUAAUAUUAUAAAUAUUACUAUUAGAUUAGGCGUUGCAACUAAACUUAAGACUCUUGGGUAUAACUUUGCAAAAAAACCUAAUACUUUUAUAUCUUAACUUUUUAUAAAAUGCAAAAAAUAAUUGACCCGCGGCAUCUCGCGGGACAUGUAACUAGUUUCUACUGUUUUCGGAUGUUCGUUCUAGUGAUUUUUGUUCGGCUUCGCUGGCCCAAAGGAUUAUAAGUUUAUUUCUAGGCAUCUUGUUUGUAAGGUGGGAAUCAUGCUCGCCAUUAGUGAAUUAAACUCCAUUUUUAUAUAUAUAAUGCACCUGGCUUCAAUCUUUUAUCAUAAAGAUUUUGGCAACUGGAGUUCCACCAUGUACAGAUACGAUAUCACGCAGCAAGAUUUAUGCUUCACGCAGCAAGAUUCAUGCUUCAAUAAUGUUCUGAGUAACGCUACUCAAAAAAGAUCAUAUAAAAUCUUAUUUAAUUAUUCAUAUAUAAUGUAUAAAAUCUCUUCAAAAUUAACAAUUUUCUCAUAGUUUGUCUUCAUGAAUUAUAAGCAUACCAAUAGUAAAAUUAUAAUUUUGAACAUGGUACUAAUUAAUAAUUUCUAACGUGAUAAGCAAGUUUGCAAAUUGCAGACCCUAUCUUAUAAUAACGACGAAUUUUUUUCAAUAGAGAAUAUGCUUUCAACUCUAACAGUCAUUUAAUAAAUUAUUUAUUAAAAAUAAAUUCAUCAAAACAAGGAACAUGUCUAUGAGAAGAGUAAGCGUGAACUAAGUCCAGACAUGUUUACAGUUUAGGUUGGUGCUAGCGCAAGCUAAUCCAAAGAGGACCUGCAGACACUUGUAGAACAUGUUCACAAAAUUUCAAAUUAAUUCAAUAAUUAAUCAGAUAAAAAAUUAUACUUAUUUAACUUAUCCAGACUUUUUCUUAGAAUUGGAUUUUUUAUAUGCAUCUCGUGCUAGAUAAAAAUAUUUCAAGAGUUGAAUAAGGCUAAAAAAAGAUAACCUUGUUCUGUACUAUUCAGUAAAUAAUUAGAUUUCAUUUUUGUAAUUUGGGGUAAAAAUAGGUAUUAUAAAUAUGUUAAAUAAUUUGACAAACAAUUCUGUAUUUCUAACACAUUAAAAACUAUAUAUAAAAAGAAAAACAGAUCUUGUUUGUUUUUGUGUUUUAAAAAUAUUUUAAAAAAAAUUUAAAAUUUUUUUAUUUUUUUUCUUCAAAUUAAUAUUUUUUUAUGUUUUUAUUAUUUUUUAAAAAUUAUUUUUUAUAUUAAUGCAUUAAAAUAAUCUAAAAAUACUAAAAAUAUAUUAAUUUAAAAUAAAAAAAAUAAUCAUAACUACAAUAAAUAAAUAAAUAAAUAAAUAAACCCUUCUUUCUAUUUUUUACUGUCUUUUUCCUUGGUAAAGAAAAGCAGUGAUAUAGUUUUCACUUGCUGUGUGGGAUAAGACAGGUACCUCGAAGGAGCGUGGACAAGAACUGUUUACAUUGACUGAAUGGAGCUAUAAUCCAAGGGCCGGGAUCUUCUGCUUCAGGCACGUGAGAUGCACAGAGUCAUUCAAUGGAUCGAUAAUACAGAGAGCGACAGCCUCAUGAAAUUCAGGUACGUAUUAGCAUCUUUCAUUUAUGAAUCGCCACCCUUAUCUUAUAUUACUGUAUUUCAUAUUUAUUUAUUUUAAUGGCUUCCACACCAAUAUAAGCAUGGUGGGAGUUGUGGCUCAAAGCUUAUGAGUCCAGAUUUAUCAACCUUCAACCACCUGCCCCACCCCUCUCUUUGCCCCUUAAUUCUCCAGGAUCAACUGCAUAAAAACAAAACGGAACCAGAAUAAAUCAGAAACACACGCACACAUGGAAGGUAUCUCUGCUAGCAUGUACACGAAGAUGAAAGGGUACUGGAGUAGGAGAGGGUACGAGAGGAUAAACGGGUCGGGUCGGAUUCGUAGGAAGCGGCCGGUGGAGCUAGGCUCGGGUAGCUCGACUUCAAGGGGGAGGGGGUUUAGUUUGCGGAUCAAGAUCAAGCCGAAGCUUAAAAUCCUCAAAAUGUCUUCUCCGAGGAAGUUCUUUGUUUGGCUGCGGGAUGCCUACGUGAAGAUGAUGCUUGGGCUUGCUAAUUCCAGGGCAAUAGGUACUUCAGGGUACGGUGACGCGUUUGGUGCACGCCGCCCAAUCAAGGAGUAUGAUGAGAAGAUGAUCGUUCAGAUCUACAAGUCGUUGGUGAUGACACAGGGCCAGUUGGUGCCACACGACGCAGCCAGGUUCGGCUCCAUGUCUAAACUUACUGCUAUUUCGGAAUAGCUGGCAGUGGAGGUUUUUUGUUUUUUUUUUUUUUUGUCUUUUUAAUGGUCAAAUAAAUCAACCCAUAAACUCCCAGAGGAAAGAGGGAAAAGAUUAUUUUCGGGUUUAUAAUAUAAUGUCCUUGUAAUUGCAACAAGUAGAUUAAUUCUUCAGGUGGCAAUAAACCUAGUUUUUUAGUCACCCCUCACUCACGAAAGAGAGGAUUUUAUAUUUCUUACUUUUUUACUAAUGGUUAGAGGGAUCAGCCAUUUUUCAUGAUGGUUGUAUAAUUAGUGAAUAAAAAGAUGAAAUAAACAUAUUGUGCAAGUCAUGCGCAUCAAACCCACUUUCUUGAUAUAGACCAGCUAUCAAUAUUAAAUGGCUUUGCUGCUUAGUGGUCCUCGACAGGAGAGUGACCACCGAGCAGCAAAGCCAUUUAAUAUUGAUAGCUGGUCUACAUCUUGUUGACAUACGCGACCAAAAUAAUAAUGAAACAUGAAAAUUGUUUAAGGAAAAACCAAAAUAAAAUUGACCGUUUGACGUGUCGCAAAAUGGCUGUCAGAAAUCUUGAAGAUGGGAACCAGACAUGUGCAGUGCACCGGUAAGGCGACUCCUGCCGGUGGCUUAGCUUACAGAGAGGAGGGCAAUCUCUAAAGCCAAAGGAUACAAGAUUCAUAGUCAUGAUGGCUUAAAAAUAUUUGAGCAGAAUAAGAAAUAUUAAGAAUUUAUAGCUGUUAAAUGAGAAUAUCCAGGAAUAAUUCUAUAGCAUUGAAGAUUAAUGUUUAAUUAAUGGGUUUCAAGAAAUUAUUAAGAAUACAUACCAAGAACUCGAAGCCCCAUGAUCCGGUAAUCUUAAAGGAUGCUUCAUUUCAAGAACAUGCAGGCUAGCUAGCUGGGGUGAUCACACUGGUUAGGACGGAAGCAAAUAUUAUUUCAACAUUUGCAUCUAAAUUAGUUCCCACUUGCACUCUCUUCUCCCAAAAAAACAUUGUCCAUUAAAAUAUUAUUUCAAUUUUGGGUAUAUACAUGCCGACACAGAUUCUUAAUUUCCACGCUGGUUCCAUUGCCCACGAAAUUAUGGUAUUUUAAUACACUCGCAUUUUAACUCUAUAUACAAACCCGUCCAAUUUGGACCAAACUAUUUGAUAGGAACUGGUAAUUAACUAACGAACUAAAUACCAAGAUGCUUUUUUAUUGAUCUGACCAAAUACCACACCGAAAAGGUUAAGAAAGACAAAUUGCAAUGGGAUUGCUUUGUUGUCUCUAUGUUUUUCAUUUUUUCCUCAGCUGUCUCGAGUUCAUUGGGUAGUCAUCGUAAUGCAUAAGUGAUGGCUGCAGCUCACCCAUCGGUCUCGGAAAAUUUUCUUGCACGACUGCAGAGGACCCUUUUCUGUAUAAUAUCAUAUAUUAUGCAAAUCAGCAAAUGCUCUUUAGCCAUUAAAAAAUUAGGUCGAUGUGAAUUAGAAUUGGGAUUCACCAGCCAUCCUCUUUAGCCAUCACAUAUACAAAGUUACCGAUGGUUUGCCGGGUCCAAGUUUAGGCCCGGCGGUUUGUUAGGGUAUAGAUGAAAAGUUGUAUACUUGUAUCUAUUAAAACUUUGCUUGAAAUAGAAUUGUGUGCUUUAAAAUUUAGAAAGUUGUAUCUUUUGUUUUAAAAGUUAGGUUAAAAUUAACUCUUUGAAUAGCAUAUAAAAAGAGACAAUUCUGACAUGGUUUUUACAAUGAAAAAAAUUUUUAAUCUUUCUAAAACUUUUUUUAAAAUAUUUAUUCGAUCGAAAUUCUCACAAAAAAUAACGUAUAAGUUUUGGUUCGAUAUUUAUUCUUGGUUGUGCUACCAAAAAUAAAAUAUUAAAUAAGCUUGAAUAAUAAUAUAUUAAGUAAGCUUGAAUAAUAAUAUUGCAAUCACACUGCUAGCUAGUAAAGAGCAAUCAAUAAAUUGUUUUAAGACUAGUGGGUUGGUGCUGCUUCAAUUUACUUCUCCAAGUUUAUUUUCUAUCAACAAGUAUUGUAAAUUAAUUUAUCUUUCGGUUGUUGAUUUAUAGACACAUUUUAUGUUUGGAAGAAAUCAGAUCAUAAGAGAUGAACUACAAUCUUAUAAACUAUUUAAAGUGUUUCAACAAUCUUAGAACAACUUAUUUCCUAAUAUCUUUGUGUGUAUGUGCAUGAUUAUACAUGGCAUAUAUAAUUUGUCCCAAAAAAAUGAUUAUGUGUUGACAUAGAUAAAAGAAAAUAAUGAUUCUAGUAGGAAAAGUAAAGUAUAUAUCUUCUGUUAAAUUCCCUGUUGUGUAUUCCCUGCAUACUUGUUGUAUUGAUUCUGCGGGGAAAGAAAUUUUGUGUUGCGUGAUAUUUUCCUUUUGCUGUUGUAUUGAUAGAAAAAAAAAGUUGAUAGAAAAAAAAAGUUGCAUAUGUUGAUACUAAUUACUGGUGAAAGAAUAUCUUUUUAAUGCAUUUCUAUUUAACUGAAUUCUUUUGUUUAAGAAGUUUAUUUGAAAUUAUAUUGUUUCUGUUAUAAGAAAAAAUGUUUUCUGUUGUGGGGGGGGGGGGGAAUCUGGUCUUGGAUUGUUACUCUUGUUGUACUCCAAGAGGAAUUCUUUGCAUAUAUAUAUAUAUAUAUGCUGGGAUUUGAACCCAGACAAUUGGAGAAAACCCAGCAGCCAUUGCUGGGUGCUGCAAGGUGUUUGAUGCCUUUGAAAAAUUAAUUUUGUGCAUUAAUCAAAUAACAGUUUGCAUUGUACAAUUAGUGCUUUUGUUUUGCAUAACCAGGGUGUUUAUUAAAUUGCCUAGCCCGUAACCUUUGGACUGCUAUAUGUUUUUUGAAAUUUGCAGGCAGUAUACUUAUGGAUAGAUACAAAAAAAAAAGUGUUUAUUUAAUUAUUAAAUUGUCUUUUGAAAAAUUAGUGUGUUAAUUUCUUAUGGUUCAUUUUAAUUAAUAUUAUUUGAGAUAUAUAAUUGUGAUAUAUAAUUGCAAAGUUAAUCUUGUUAUUGAGAUAACAUUUGGAUAAAACUAGUGUUAAUAAUUUCAAUGUACCAAUUAACCCGGUAAUCUUUGUGGUCUCAGUUGACUAUUUGGCAAACCCGAUUCCUAAACAUUCUCCACGUAGGAGAAAACCUAAAAUAAUUUAAAUAAGAAUGGUAAUAACGGUGGCAAAAAGAAGUUCAAAGAAACUUGCUUUAUUUGUAAAGAUCAAAAAAAUCACCAUAAGAAUUGUUGUUGGAAAGGGAAGAAUGCAUAAAAGGAAACAAUAGCACAACAUUUUAUUUUAUAUUAUGAAUAAAAUAUCUUAUAAGAAAUUGAACAGGACACGUUGUGUGUUUUGGAAUGGUCAAUCACCAUCCUAUAAAUAAAUACAUGAAAGUAUGAGAGUAUCUAAAAAAACUUACGGUUUCUCCACACAAAAAAAUCAAAAUAUAGAUUAUAUUAUAUGAAAUAUCCAAUUAGUUAUAUUUAAAGGGUAUAGCGAUGUUAAUCAAAUAAUUGAUACUAAAGAUUCAAAAUCCACAAAAUGGAUUUAUCUUUACUAUUGGAGAAGUUAUGGCCUAUUGAAAAUUCUCUAAAUAAACAUGCAUAUCCAAAUCCAUAAAGGAAUUUGAGUUUAUAGCUUUGGACAAAGAUAAAAAAGAAGCAGAGUAGCUUCUAAAACUUUUUUGAGGAUAUUCCAAGUUAGCCAAGAUUUUAUGCCGACAAUCUGUAUAUAAAAUAUUAUAUAUAACAAUAAAUCUUGGUACAAUUGUCAUAGAUACAAUACCGUAGGAUAGUUGCUUUCAAAGAGGAUUAUUUUUAUUGAUUAUGUAGAGUUAAAGAUAAUUAAAGCCUAUAUUAUCCUAUAUUUAAAUAAUUUACAUGAUGGCAACCCAACUUAGUUGACUGGAGAUCUUAAGAUCUAAAUUUAAAUGAAUAAUUAAAUCAUGUGUCAAUUCAGUAGUUGCACUCUUACUCAUUUCUACGAUAAAAAGUGCUACAUGUAGUGAAAACCAGAAUAAGUUAAGUUUUUAAUGAUUCUUAUAACUUUAUAAAGGAGUAUUGUUGGAUGUUCUCAAUAAGAAUCAUAUAUGUGGAUGUGAAACAAGACCACUUUUAUAAGAAUUGAAAAUGUUAAAUUGUCUAAAGCACUCUCUGAAAUCAGGACGUGUUUGGGGUCAAAAUGAACAUAAAUGUGAGAAUCAAAAUUGUAGGGAGAGGAAUUGUGUGAUUUCUAUUGCCUGGGUUUACAUGAAAAGCUUAACAAUUCAAGACAUCAUAUUCACUGGUUAGCCGAGUGAAUUCAAUAGUUUUCGCUGAAAAAAAUUUAGGACCAAAAGCUAUCUUGCCCAAUAUAACAACUUUUCGUUAUUACUUUCUAUUUUCGUUUGUAUUUUAUAUUUUAUUCUAAUCAAAUAAUUUUUAUUCAUGUAAGAGAAUGUUAGGACAUGAAUGAAAAGUUAUGCAUGUUAAAACUCAAUUUGAAAUAGAAUUGUAUUUUUUUAAACUAAAAAGUAAUAUCAUUUUGUUUUAAAAGUUGUAUUAAAAUUAACUUUCGGAAUUACCAAAAAAAAAAAACAAUUCUGGAAUGAUUUUGAUUUUGACAAUGAAUGUGCUUUGUAAAUCUCUUCUCUUUUACAUUCAUUCAAAAUUCUUACAUGUAAUAAUAUAUAAACUCUUGUUCGUGGUUUAUUAUUGGUAAAGAUUGAAUAAUUAUAUGAAACAGUUCUUUUGAGGACAAAAUGUUACAUGGCACCGUCCAAUCAAAUUAGGUGGUGGAGUGGAUCGUGAUAUGAUAAUGGGUUAUACAGUGAACCUAAAGUAGGUGAUUGUUCUCCUUUCCUUACCUCGGCUUUUAUGAAACGCAAGAGUUAAAAUCUUGUGUGCUUCCAUUUGUGCGAUGUCCCAUCGCCAUUCUCCCCCCCUCCACUAAACUUUUUUUUUAUUUGGUAAUUGUUGUAGGGUUUAUACAUGUUUUAUAUAUAUUUUAAUUAAUUUUUUAAGAUUCUAAAGUUUACAUAUAAAUUUUCAAUAAUCUUAAGAUUUGUAGUAUUUAAAAUGAUAAUCUUUACAAAGCAAAUCCAAAACUUGAUCAGUUAAACUACACCCUACCACUAAACUUGCUUUCACUAACUAUGGGUUUAUGGUUUCGUUUUUAUUUUGCAUUCAUAUUUUUUAAAAAAAACUAUAAUUUAUUUAUUUUUUUGUGAAUUUAUUAGGAUUAUAUCAUAGUUUUAAGACCCGGGUUCCUGGUUUUGACCGGGUCAUCGGGUCAAUUUUUUUUUUUAAAUCAAAACGACGUCGUUUUAGUAAAAAAAAAAGUCAACGGAUUUGUAAUCGGGUCUUGCCGGGUCAACCCCCGCCGGGUUAGCCGGGUAACACCGGGUUUUUCCUUUCCCUGUUUUUUCUUCAACCCGGCCCGGUUCCAGUCCCGGGUCGGCCGGGUCCUGGAUCGAGCCGUCAGGCCGGGCCGGGUUUCAAAACUAUAGAUUAUAUAGAUGGUUUGUCCAAUUAAGAUUUUAUCAGGAAAGAGCUCAGCUGCAAUAUUAAAAACUAAUUAAUUGUAUUAUACCUUGAUCUUUGCCGUUCCUCGUAGCGUGGAACCUUUUUAACGAUAAUAAACACAUGCUUUUUCUUUAUAGAAAAUAAGUUUCUAUUUUAAUUCCUAAAAGAAUACCAUGCAUGCGAAUUGCAAAUAAAAUAUAAAUUUAUUUAUUUUAAUCAAAUUACCCCAUACCUUAGAAAGUAUAAGACACUCGAAUUUUUGUGUGUUUUUUACUGGAUUAUCCGGACUUUUUUCUUUCAUUUUUUUAAAACUUAAUUUGAUUCCGGUUUUGGAUUAUUCCGGUUUUUUAAUCUUUUGCGAAUGCUUGCAAGCAUACAGAUAUUUCCACUGCGUAUGAUCAUAACUUCGUCAGUCAAUUACUUAAAUUAAAAUUAUUUCGGGGAAAUCUCUUUGUUUUGAUACUUCUGUCACAGAAAAAAAAACAUCGAAAACCUUCGUAUGCUAGGAAAUUAUUUGUUUGAUGAAAAAUAAUUUUUUUAAGUAGUUUUUUUAGAAAUUAAAUUCUUGAAAAUAAAUUAUUUUUUGAUAUUUGAUAGUGUUAUAAAAAAUAAAUUGAAAAAUAUUUUCCAAUGUUUGGUUAUGUCAUGGAAAUGACAUGAAAAAUAACUUAUUAAUGUUUUAUUUUUUAAAAGUUUUUUUAAAAUAAUAAGGAAUAAAUCUUACAAAUUAAAAAGUUGAAUAAAAAUGAAAAAAAUUCUAAUUUUAUAAAUUAUCUCAAAUAAAAUAAAUAACAAUCAAAAUAAUAGAGAUGAAAUCUAAUAGAUAAAAAAAUUAAAAGAUAAUGAAAUUAAAAUAAUUAUAAUUAUAAUUUCAUAAAUUAUUUCAAAUAAAAUAAGUACCAAUCAAAAUAAUGAGGACUAAAUUUGAUAGAUAAAAAAUUUCAAUUAAAAAAUUAAUAAGAGAAAAGCAAAUAACAAUCGUAAAAAUAAAACCAAAGUUUAUAUAAAAAUCAAUUCUAAUGGAUAAAUUUGAAAAAAAAAAUACGAAACAAAAUAUAUAACAACUAAAAAUUUGAGGAUCAAAUUUGAUAUAAUCAGUAAAUAAUAUGACAUUUCUAAAUUUUUUCACAACUUCUAGAAAGUGUUUUCCACCCAAAAUAAAAAGAAAAUAUUUUUCUGAUAAUCAAGUCAAAUGUUUUCUCGAUUGAAAAAUAUUUUUUUAAUAGUAAAUAAACACAAAAAAAAAUAUAAAAAGCAAUUCUCUCUUCGUGAUAAUGAGAUUCCAUUGAUUAUUAUGAACUCAAUGAUUGAGUUUUUUUGCGCUCACUGUGUUGUUCCUGGCUGUGACAUCCUUUUGCCUUUUGUUGAUCUGACGUCAUUGCUAGUACGUCAUUGAUCAUGUUAACUUUAACAAUCCGACUUCAUUUUAAUUAUAUUAUUACAAUUAUAUUAUAAUUACAAUUACACUGUAAAUCAUCGUGAACCAAUUAAGGUAUAUUUAAAUGUUCAUUGAAACAAUGGAAUGAAACUUUUGCUCUAUCAAACAAAAAAAUCGAAAAUUAUAUUAUUACAAUUAUAUUAUAAUUACAAUUACACUGUAAAUCAUCGUGAACCAAUUGAGGUAUAUUUAAAUGUUCAUUAGUGAAAUGACUUUAUUACUUUAAAAAACAAAAAAAAAAGUAUAAGUCUUUGAUGUAGGGGAUUUUUUUGUCUUUUUGAUAUUAUUUGCAUAAUUAAAUUAUGAUGAUACCCUUGUUAUGACAAGUUAAAUCGAGUGAAAAAUAUAAAAUUACAAGGGAAAAAAUCACCAUUCAAUUUUAUAAUUACAAAAACCUCUAACUAGUUUUUUAGAGUUUCUAAAUAAAAAUCUGGUUAUUCUAAAAGAAAAAAAAUUAUUAUCCUAAAAUACAUUAUUAAAAAUAAAUUGUAUUAUUAAUUGUUUUUUAUUACUAAGAAUUUGUUGCGUCAAUGGUUUUCUUAUACGAUAAUAUCAAGUUAGCUGUGAGGAAUCAGUGUUUUACUGUGGACUGCACAGUGCAGUCCACAGUAAAACACUGAUUCCUUAGGCUUUUUUUUAUUAUUAUUUUAUUUUAAGUUGUUUAAUUUUUUUAGCUGUUUUUUUUAAUGAUUUUUGGGAAUUUUUUUUUGCUUCUUUCUUUAUUUUUUUAAUUAAUUUUUUUCGUUUAGUUUAGUUUGUUAAUGUUAAAUUUCUUUCUAUUUAGUUAUUAGACUUUCAUGACACAUAUCCCGAGUUUCACGGGUUAACCUGGUUUCACGGGUGAACCCAGUUAAUUCCGGGUUGACCCGUCAAUUUUUUUUUAUUAUUAUUUUCAUAAAUAUUUUUGUUUAAUUUAGUUUGUUAAUGUUAAAUUUUUUUUUAUUUAGUUAUCAGACUUUCAUGACACAAAUACUGAGUUUAACAGGUUAACAUGGUUUGACGAAUUAACCCGGAUUUUUUUUCUUUUUAAUUAAUUUUUUUUGUUUAGUUCAAUUUGUUAAUGUUCACUUUUUUUUAUUUAGUUACCAGACAUUCAUGACACGGAUCCCGGGUUUAACGGGUUUACUUGGUUUGACGAGUUAACCUGAAUUUUAAUUUUUUUUGCUUUUUUUUUUCUUUUUAAUUAUUUUUUUCGUUUAGUUUGGUUUGUUAAUGUUAAAUUUCUUUCUAUUUAGUUUUUUUUCUUUUAUUUUUUCUUUUUAAUUUUAUUUAUUUAAUUAAUUUAGUUUAUUAAUAUUAAAUUUUUUUCUGAGUAGUUCUCAGCUGAUGCCUUUAGUUUUUUUUUAUGCCUUUGACUGUGAACUGCACAGUGCAGUCCACAGUGAAAAGGCUGAUGCUUUUUUUUUUAAUUAAUUUUUUUCGUUUAAUUUAAAUUGAUGUUAAAUUUUUUUCUAUUUAGUUAUCAAACUUUCAUUACACGGAUUCCGGGUUUGACAGGUUAACCUGGUUUGACGAGUUAGCCCAGUUAAUUCUGGGUUAACCCAUUAAUUUGUUUUUUUAUUUUUAAUUAUCAAACUUUCACGAUGCGAAUUCAAGGUAUGACGGGUUAACUUGGUUUGAAGGGUUAACCCAAUUAAUUUAUCUUUUUUUUCUUUUUUUUUCAUUAGUUUUUUUCUUCCUGUUGGUUUUUUUUUUUAACUAAUCUAUUUAAUUAUCACACUUUUAUGAUACGACCUUGCAGCCAGACCCACGUCCAAUGCUAUUGGGUUUGGUAUUGCAGUCCAGACACUUUUAUGCUAAGGGUUAACCCAAGUUUAAUGUUAUUAUUAAUAUUAUAAACAUUACUCUUGGGUCAGGCGUUGCAACCAAACCUGAGAUUCUUGGAUAUAACUUUGCAAAAAAACCUAACACUUUUAGAUCUUGGCUAUUUUUAAAAUACAAAAAAUAAUUGACCCGCGGCAUCGCGCGGGGCAUGUAACUAGUCAAGUUAACUAUGAUGAAUCGUGGAGUGAAGGUUGAAUCUAUCAUUUCUAUGAUCUGAUUUAUUUUGUAUCCUUAAUUACUAUUUUUAAAUAAUACUUUGACUAUUUCAAAAUUGAGGCUUCCUGAUCACAACUCUUGUUUUUUUUUUAAUAUAAUCUGGGGUGUUCGGGUCAGUUUAUACACACCAAGAUUAAUUUUUAAAUUUACUGAAUAUCCUUUAAAUCUAAUAAACAAGUAAGGUAUUGGAAGGAUGACAAGAUAUAAAUAGAUAGUCGAACCUCGACGCAGUAGGAAGAAAUUCCCUGACAUUACCUCAAGUGCACAACUCUCGCUUCCUUUCUUUUCAAUGUGUGUGCGCUGUACAAAUUGGUGAGAGCUUGAGAGAUUCUUUUAUUAUUAUUAUUAUUAUUAUUAAUUUUUUAUGGUGGGGUGUGCUGGAAAUGGGGAAAAUGUGGGGGGAGAGGGACGAGUUUUGAUUUGUGUAGGGGUGCGGACGAGUGGGAAAUACUUUUCUCUCCUUUUGACUUGCCUUCUCCCAAAUGGUAAGAGCUCCCCUGUUUUUUUUUUCUUUUUCGGCUUGGACCCCCUCCUUUAAUUAACGGUGCACCCAUUAUUUAUAUCACUUAUUGCACUGGCAGUUGGGGAAUUGCAUUUAGCAUGGUGCACUUACGCAAUAUCUGGGAGUGUGGUUUCACUGUAUUUUUUUAAGAUUUUUUUAUCUUUAUAAAAAAGUUUUAAAUUAAUAUUAUUUUAAUAUUUUUUCUAUAUUGUUUUGAUGUGUUUACAUAAAAAAAAUUAUAAAAAAAUUAUUUUAAUAUAUUUUAAAAAAAUAUAUAUUUUUUAAAAUUAUUCUACUCUACAAUCUCAAAAACUAUUUAGGUUGCGUUUGUUUUUCACCUAUUUUUGUGUUUGCGGUGAAACAAACGCAGCAAUGUGUUUGAUAACAAGUCAAACUGCAUUUUGUAUUGCGGGCUCACUAAAAAAUUGAAUUUGAAAUAUAGUUUUUGUGAAACAGUUUUUAUAUGAUUUUAUAACUGAAUUUCGUAAAAUUCUGUUUGUUUUUGCGUUUCAAAAGCGCUUUUGAAAAAAUUUGAAAUUUUUUAAUUUUUUUCUUUGCUUCAAAUUGAUAUAUUUUUUAUGUUUUCAGAUUAUUUUGAUGCAUUUUCAAGUAAAAAACACUUUGAAAAGCAACCGCAACCACACUUCCACCAAACAUUUUAUACAUGUUUUUUGCUAUACAUAAACUUCAAUCAUAAUUUUUACCAAACACAUAUCUAAAUCCAACUAACCAUAGUUAACUGUAUUUUUUUAAAAUCACAACCACAAAAACUACCUCAAAAACAAACACACAUGCUGCAUUACUUUUUUGGCUGGAUUCAAAUGGUUUUGAGUCGGUUUGACCACGCUCAAACCUAGUGUAUUUUUGGGCUCGAUUCUCUUUUCUUGGAUGAGUUUCAUUAUAUCAAAACCAAACCCAACCGAACUCAUUUGAAAUUAAAGUUAAUAUUUUUUAUGUUUGGUAUAACCGUUGUCAAACCAAACUUAAUCAAGCCUCCCUUAAGCUUGAUUCUAUUGAACAAUCCUCUUCUUCUCUUUUUUAUGUUUCUCUCUGGUUUGUUAUUAUUCACGUCAACAUUUACGUAACACUUUUAGCCCAUGCAGUAUGGCUACAAUUCGAAAAGCUAGCUGCUUCUCAGAAGCUACUCCUAUAUUUUUCUGAGGCUACUUCUUAUUUAUAUAUAAAAACAAGGUAAAGCAGGAAGGAAGAGGAUCUUGAACCAUCUUCUUAAUUCUCACUUACUAGCUGCAAUUAACAUGAGCAUCCUGCACUACUACGCCUUGGUUCCGUACCCACUGCCUCCUGCAGUAUGUAGCAAAGCCCAUAACCAGAACAUUGGUUCUAGCUCACGAGCAUUAUGACGCCAACGGGGUCGCCGGUACACCUUAAUCCAGCAGUGGAGACCCGACCCGUGUUUUCGACCGAGAGGCCAGGCUGGAGUUGGACCGGAGAGAGUAAAUCGUACGGACUGUUAAAAUGUGCUCACCGAGGGACACGCUUCACAAGGUAUAAUCAUGUGGAGAAAUGAACAGCUGUGCUGCCCAGAAGGCGCAGGUGCACCGUACACCUGCGUGGGACUGUGACCUCACUGGCUACACUUCUUAUCAACGUGGACUGUUGUUACUGGAUUGACCAAACCAGCUGGUCUACACUAUCUUAAAACAUCUUUUAAGAAGCCUGAUACCUCUGCUGUUGUAUCCGAUGCCUGUCCCCUGGAUUUCCUUCUUCAUGUAAUCCAGCAUUUUUCCUUCCUACCGCUCUUUUAACUGUCUCGAUUCCUGUGCAAUUUUUUUUUUUUUCCACUUAUAUCAUGGUUUGAAGAAAAGAAAAGAAAAAUUCAAAAACUUAUACAAAUAAGUUUCUAAACUAAACUAUGGUGGUUAUGUUUAUUAUUAUAUUAAUGGUUGUUUUUUAAACUAUUUUUUUAUUAGAAAAUAUAUUAAAAUAAUAUAUUUUUAUUUUUUAAAAUUUAUUUUUAACAUAACUACAUCAAAAUAAUUAAAAAAAUCAGACGGUUACUUAGACAAACGGUGCCUGCAUGCUAAAUGUGAGCUAAAUGACAAAAAAGUCAUAGGGGGUCCAUAGAUUCUGCGGGACCCGGCCCAUCAGGGUUAGCCUGUCGAUUUCUAAAUAAUGGGUUCUCGUGUCCUGUCAUUCGAACACAGUCCACGAUAGUAACUGUGCAUCUACAUUUUACUACUUCAAAUUGCAUUUCUUGGAAGAAAAAAAAACAUGUAUCACCGAUAAUUAAUUCAAACCUAAACGACGUCGGAGAAGCGUUGUAGAUAUGCUUUAAUUUAUUAAAACAGUAAAAUUACUAUUUUAUCUUGGGAGUAAUUAGUCUUUUUAUUUUUUUUAACAUAUUAUAAUUACUUUGUUGUUUUUAAAAUCAAAACUUUAAUCCCUUGCCUUCAGGGCAUCUUUAUACUAACUUUUUCUUCUAUGUGAUUACCAAUUUAAUUUUAUAAGCAAUUUAAUAUUUUAAUAAAAAUAAAAAGUUGCUAGCAAGUAUAAAACAAGCCAACGAAUAAGUUAUCAUUAUUGUUCAUGAAACAUGCAUGAACCGCAGUUGACACGGUGAAUUUAACUGAUGACUAAAACUCAGAUUUGAUAAACAACAAAUAAUUUUUUAUUUUUAUUAGAGAUGAGUGAAAAAACUGAAAAAUUAAUUAAAUUGAGAAAACUGGGUUAAAAAUAACCGAAAAAACCGAACCAUGAAAAAACAAAGAAGUUUUCUUCAGAAGUGGUGCAUGACUUGACUUUAAAAGAAAAGCAGGUAUUAAUCCAACCGUGCUUUUAGAACAUAAUCAAUUCAAAAGUAGGUACAUUUUCUUUCCUGCACACUUGCCUAAAACUUUUCAUAGAAUAGCACAGGAUAAAUAAGUAUUUAAAAAAUAAUAUAGUUUUAUUAAAAACACAAUUGAGAAUAGUAACUUUAAGAAAUACAUGAUUAAUCCGCACUGUUUGUUUUUGUAUUUUAAAAAUAUUUUGUAAAACAAAAAUUUAAAUUUUUUCUUUACUUCAAAUUAAUAUUUAUUUGGUGUUUUCAUAUCAUUUUGAUGCGUUGAUGUAAAAAAUAAUUUUAAAAAAAUAAAAAAAUACAUUAUUUUGAUACAUUUCUAAAUGAAAAGUAACCGCAACCACACUCCCAAACAUGUUAAGAAUAAAAAUGACAACUUUAAAAAAUUAAACCAUGAAAUAACCCUAACUCCAACUCUAAACUAGCUUUAAAUUCAAACUCUAAAUAAUAUCCCAACUUUUAAACUAUGACCUGGUAUUUAAAAAACAAACCCUAAGAACAAACAUUAAUUAAUAACCCUGAAAACAAAUCCUUGUUAAAUAUAAUAAGAUCUUUAGGUUAGUUUAGGGUUUACAAUAAACUUAAUAUUUAAUGAUAAAAUUCAAUAAUAACUUAACACUAUAUAAUAGAAUUGAAAAAAAAAUAGAAAAGGCAGAAAAAACCUGAUUUUUUUUUUAUCAUAUUUAGUUAAGAUAUUAUUUAGUGUUUGUAUUUAGAGUUAAUUUUGGAUUAAAAUAAAAAUUAAUUUAUGGUUUGAUUUUUUUUAUUCAAAUCAUGCUAUUUCCUUGAUAUUUUUGUUGGCCUUUGCUGAUUUGCCAUAUUUUUGGUACCAUGAUUUUUCAAAGGGAUUGUGUUGUAUUGUGUGUUAUGCAUGACGUGGCUAUUAUGUUGUAAUGUGUUGUUCGGUGACGUGUUGUGGGGGUAAAAAUAGUAUCUGGUAACUAGGUGUCGUGUUGUGAUUAAAAAUGUUUAAGAUAGCUAACUAUUAUUUGAUUGCAUUAUUUUGUUGUGUUUUUGAGAUGUAAAAUGACCAAUAAGUACUAUAAUAUAUUAAAAACAUUUUUUUAUUUAUAUUAAGUGAUUUAAAACCGCUUAAAAUCUUAUGACAUCUGUACAUACAUUUUACGAGAGUGGUUCUUAAGUUCAAAAAACUAAAAAAAAAAGGGAUUAAUUAGGAUGAUUAUAUACAUGGACAUGUCCUUUUAAUAAAAUCAAUAACAUAAAAAGUUGAAAUAUAAUUAUGUAAAAUACACUAACAUCUACGGUUGCGUAAUUAAAAAAAUAACAAAGAAAGUUGUUAUUUUAAUUAAAAAAUCAUCAGCACAUAAAAUAAGAUGAAUUUUAUAAUGUCCAUGGAAUAAUUAAUGAUUUUCUAGGCUCAUUUAAAAAAAAGGAUAAAAAUAGAAAUAUUCUUAUUAUUUUUUUUAUGAAUUAUGAAUUUUAUUAUUCUUUUUUUUGUUUAUUUAUUUUUAAAUGAAGCACAUAACUAGUAACUAAUAUGACAAUACUAGUUUAUAAGAAUUUCCAACAAGACACUUGUGUUUUAUUUUUUCAUAAAGUAAGAUGUUUUUCUUUUAAAAACUGACACCAGUUUUGAUUUCAAAAUUAAAACAUGUUUUAAUUAAACACUAUUGUGUGGAGUAAACACAGUUACAUUUUAAAAACAUGUUAAUGCAAAACAAGCAUACCGAUGUGUUCUGUUUGUAUUUGUGUUUUAAAAAUAUUUUUAAAAAAAUUAAUUUUUUUUUAUUUUUUUCUUUACUUUAAAUAAUUUUUUUAUAUUUUUAAAUUAUUUUAAUGUAUUGAUGUUAAAAAUAAUUUUUAAAAAAUAAAAAAAUAUGCAUUUUAGCACGAAAAGUUAUUUAAAAAACACCCGCAACUACACUGCCAAACAUGCUCUUAACACCAGAUCACCGCUUACAAAGAACAAGUCUUCUAUCAUUUUUAUUGCAGUAUUUGGUUUGGUAGUUGAAGCGUAGAUACUUUAAGAUAGUGAUGUGCAAUUGACAGAGUAUUUAAAACAAAGUAAAAAAAUUAAUGGUUUUAAAUUAAUGAUUAAUUAUGUUUAACUGAUGUCGUGGCAUAUUGUGCGUGGGAUUUGCACUGAAGAUAUUUUUAGAUACCUUGUUUUUUACAGGUGUGUUUGGUAGAGUGUCAAGACAGGAUUAAAACUAUAUUUUAUUUUUAAAAGUUUUUAGUUAAUUAAUAUCUUUUCAUUAAUUUCAUUAAAAAUUCUAUCUUAAAGUUUUUAUUAUGAAAAAACUAUGAUUUAUAUUUUUUAUAAAAGAAAUAUCGUCUUUUUAUGGAAAAAAAGCUUCGAUAGCUCUAGUCUCUUUUGAUGACAAUAGGAAAAUUUAAAACCCAAAAAAGAUUUGUAUGACUUUACAGAGAGACUAACGUCACAUAAUACAAAUAAUGUGUAUUUUAUAUUCUAAAAACAUGUAAAAAAACCGCUCUUAUAUUAUAUUCAAGGUUUACGAAUUUUUUAAUAUAACUAAUUGAAUAUAAAUAUAUUACUUCGUGUUGAAUGGUUAUUAUUAUUUUUAUUAUUAUUUUUGUUAUUAUAUCAUGAAUGGUUAUUCUCCUAGCUACCAAGUUGGACAUUUCAUAAGAAUAGAGGACGUAAUUGGGUAGAAAUACUCUCUAAUUCACAGUAAAAUAUCAACUACAUUUAAAUAAGAGGUAGUUGAGAAAUUAAUCCCUUUAUUAAUCGUGGGCUGAGUCUCGUUAGCCUUGAAUUCACAUACAUGAAUGUACUUAUGUUUUUAGGCCGGUUUAUUUUCAUGGUUUAACUAUGUUUUUUUUAAAUUAUUUUUUAUGGUUUUGAUAUAUUAAAAAAAAAUAUUAUUUAAAUAUAUAUUUAAUUAAAAAUACUUUAAAAAUAAUAUAAUACAAUCAGUUAUGAUGGAAUACCAUACUUUAAAAAUAAUAUAAUAAUAAUUGGAUAAGGGGAAGGCACCUUUUUGUUUUUAUUUUUUUAGUUUAACGUAGGUGUCCGAGCCAGCUUGCGCGUACCUCGACUAAUCCUACGGGUCCUGAAGUUAACGACUAUGUAAGCCUCCAGCGGCCAUCAUAUGAGCAACCACAUGGCUCGAACCUGAGAUCACAGAGAAAACAAACCUCUUGAUCCUAAGUUUUUAUUACUGACCACCAUCUAGAUGGUUGAAGUUACCUUUUAUUAAUAAGUCAACAUGAUGUUGAUACAUUAUCCAUCCCUCCUUAGAUUUCUUGUAUAAAAAUAGUUUCGAUACAUCUACGCGCUAAGGACUGGAAAUGAUGAACGAGGACUAAUUCUAGGAAUAAUUAACUUGGUAGUUAAGAAUAAUUAAGACUAGUUCUAACCGAAGAGUAAUUCAGAGUUGAAACAAUGGAUGAGGUUGACUAAUACAACAGUCCCAAGAACCGAAGAAGAGUGGACCCAGCUGUUCUGUUUGUUACAUGUUUAUCAAUUAUUUUUUAUUUUACAAGAUAUUAAAUUAAUAUUUUAAAAGUAUUUUUAAAUAAUUUUGAUAUAAUCAUAUUAAAAAUAAAAAAUAAAAAAUAAUUUUAAUAUAUUUAUAAUAAACCAUAAGAGGAUGGGUUUCGGGUAGCAAACAAGAAGGUCCGUGCAGGUCCGGGGACGCAAUCGUAAUUGUGGCAGACGACAAGGACAGCUGGAAGUUUCCUCCAAAGAAACCAAACCCAAUCAAUGCUAUCCGUAUUACUACUUUUUUUUUUACUUCCUGUAAAUACAAACACAUAAAUGUAUAUCCAUUUAAUAAAAAAUGAAAUCCUAAAAUAAUAUAUAUUAUUUCCUAAAGUUCUCUUCGCACCGUUUACGACUGCAUUUUAUCGUAUUCAUUUACCAAAAAAUAAAAAAAUUAAUAGCUAAUAUUAUAGCUUGUUUGGCAUUUCUAUUCUACGGUGGAAAACACAAAGCUAAGCUGAAAAAAGAGAAGAAAAGCAAGCGCCUCUUGCUCUUCUCUACUGCUCUGUCUCUCUUUUCUGCUCCUCUCAUCUUUUCCUUUUUUUCUUUGCGGGAUAGGGUGGGUGCCAGUAAAAGAGGUGGAGGGGGGGGUUAGAGUGCUCGGUGGCGCACGCUAGCACCAGGGGGCCUAAUUGUACGCCCUGGUUCAUCUCAUGGAUUCCUCUAUUCGCUUCGUUCUCACGGCAAUUCUACAUUGAAAAGGGAAAGAGAGAGAGAUCGAAUCGAAACUUUACUUUCCUUUCCUUUCCUUUAAUUCAAUCUACCAUUUGCUGUAGAGUCUUCAACAAUUCUGGCGGACCUCAAAGGAACCCUAGCGUUCCUUCGAUUGUCCUUUAUCUCAAUAGUGGCAGAUCGGUUCGAUUUUAAAUCAAAGUAUAAGAAGAAGAGAAGAGGGAUUUAUGGUGCAAAGAUGCUUUGGAUUCUACGAUUCUCAGGCUUCUUCUCUGCCGCAGUUGUGAUGAUUAUACUCUCUCCUUCUAUCCAAUCCUUCCCCCCAGCUGAGGCCAUUCGCUCCUCCAAUCUCGACGGGUACCUCCGUUUCCCCAUCCUCCCCUCCCCUCCCGAUUACCUCCCUCAACUAUCCUUCCGAAGGUCGACCAUAUUCCGCAAUGCUGAUGAAUGCCGCUUCUCUGCCCGCCAAAUCAGGGGCAAAACCAGUGUCUGUGAUCCUUCAUUGGUUCACAUAGCGAUUACUCUCGAUGUGGAGUAUCUUCGUGGUUCAAUCGCGGCUGUUCACUCAAUUUUGCUCAACUCUUUGUGUCCAGAGAAUGUUUUCUUCCAUUUCUUAGUCUCUGAGACCAAUCUGGAAUCCCUAGUUCGAUCCACUUUCCCUCAAUUGAAGUUCAAAGUGUAUUAUUUCGAUCCGGAGAUUGUACGCAGCCUCAUCUCGACUUCAGUUAGGCAAGCGCUUGAGCAGCCACUCAAUUACGCCAGGAAUUAUUUGGCUGAUUUGCUAGAGACCUGUGUUAAAAGAGUGAUCUAUUUAGACUCUGAUCUUGUUGUCGUUGAUGAUAUCGCAAAGUUGUGGGCUACUAAUUUGGGUUCUAGAACAAUCGGAGCUCCAGAAUAUUGUCAUGCCAACUUCACAAAGUAUUUCACUUCGGGUUUCUGGUCUGAUAAGCGGUUUUCAGGGGCAUUUCGGGGGCGGAAACCCUGUUACUUUAACACUGGAGUGAUGGUGAUAGAUCUGGUGAAAUGGAGACAUGCCCAAUAUACGAAGUGGAUUGAGAGGUGGAUGGAGGUCCAGAAGAGUGACCGGAUCUACGAUUUGGGUUCCUUGCCGCCAUAUCUUUUGGUAUUUGCGGGAAAUGUGGCGCCGAUUGAGCACCGGUGGAACCAGCAUGGGUUAGGUGGUGAUAAUGUGAGAGGUAGUUGCCGGGACUUGCAUCCGGGUCCGUAUAGUCUAUUGCAUUGGUCAGGUAGCGGAAAGCCGUGGCUCAGGCUCGACUCAAAGCAACCGUGCCCUCUUGAUUUCCUGUGGUCACCAUACGAUUUGUACGGACACUCGCGUUUAUAAAUUCUACUCGCCGGUAAAUUUAUUACCCGUCAGGAACUUUUUUUUUGUUAAUUUCUUUCUUCUUUUUUGUUCUUUAAUUUCGUUCUUCCUAUGACCUCAUUUUUUUUCUUUGAUUUUAAUAUCAAAUCAUUUCUGAGGCGAUUUGUAUUCUAUUCUAUUAUCCCUGCCUUUGAAAAAUAAAAAAAUAUAUAUAAAAAAUAAGGGAGACAUUCAAUUUGUUAUGGUGGUGCUCGUUGGUAUUUGGGAUUUUAGUUAAAAGCUGCAGCAAUUAGUGUAAAAACAUAACAUCUCUGCAGAAGGAAGGAAGAAAGCUUGUCCUUCAAUGGAGGGGUACAGUUGUUGAUAUUGAAUGGAAUAGACAAAUUAGUGGGCAUUGAAGUGGGGAUAUUUUUGAGAUGGCCAAAUUGUGCGUUUUAAUGUCAUUAAAUUACUGGAUCAGUUGCAAAUUGCAAUUGUAAAUUAUUAGCGUUUUGGUCGGUGUCGGUCUGGUCUUGUGCAUUUUGUUUUGUUUUAGGCUCUUGGGAAUUUCUUCUCUGUAAUCAGUACCCGUGAGGUUAGUGGGGAGAGUCAGAAGGUGAUAACAUUGAUUUUCUCGACAAAGUGAUAGGGCAUUUGGGAAAAUGUGGCACGCUGUGAUUAGGAGGGAGGACUUUACAGAGGGCAGCUUUGGUUUUCUUUUUGGACAAAUGGGAGGCCAUGUGAGUAAUGUAGAACAGCGCUUAGGAAAGGGACUUGGAAAAGAUUUGUGCUAGGUUUCUUUUUCCUCGCGCAUCCUUUAGCUUUUUUGUACUUCAUUUCUUAGAAUUUGUAAGCAACUCUUGUCAAAAUGAAAUGGUACUAAUGAAUUUAGCAAAUGAAGAAGAAGAAGAAAAAAUGUUUCGAACGAUAAGCUGACAUACUUGUAGGUGGAGUGCGAUGAACAAAAAAGAGUAUAAGGGCCAUGGACUGGGGGCAUGUGAGCAAAAUCGGAAGAAUCUCGGAGAAGUUCACGGGCUGUAUUUUGUCUUGUCCUUGCCUUGGUGGCAGCGGCAUAAGACUUGUGAACUAUCUCUCGAUUCCGUUCCUUUGCACACUUCGGUGGCAACCCCCCUAUUCCUUGCUUGUUUGUAUUUUGUGGUAAGUCUACUACUUGAAGUGAUCGUAACAAGUAUAAUUAUAAUUUAUCCAGCCAACAAAUAUAGCUAACAAGUGAACUAAGAAAUGUAUAAACAAAGCUUGGAAGCCGGGCAAUCAAAUUUAUUUUGUGGCAUGCCCAGAUGGCAUUGUUGCGUAGCAAGUGUCCAUAGUAGGGACAGGGGGCCGAUUCCUUUCGGCGUGGCAUCACACACGUGGCCAGUUGCUUGGACUCUCCUGGAAUCAGCUGCUUAAUCAUUAUUGAGUUGAGUUGUCUUUAAACAAUCUUAUCAAGAAUGAAAAUAAAAGGAUUAUCCUGUGACCUGUAUUAUCAAUGAUGGUAUUUCUUGGAUUCUUUCAUUGUAGGCUCUGCUCGUAAGCAGAUAAAUUAUCGAUCCGUUCUUCCUUGUAUAUUAAUAAUGCUGAUUAAGACUUGGCAUCAGCCUUGAGUGGUUAUUGGAAUCACAGAAAAAAGAUCAAUCUGACUUUGACAGCUUCGCUGUCACAAGUUAUCUGUAAUCAUAUGCUAGGAAUCCAUUGUUAGAGUAUUUCAAUUGAGAUUCAAUGAGGCCAGAUGGUUCUAGAAGAGAGGAAGGAAGUACGAGUUCCGGAGCACGGAAUACACGAGGCUUCUAGUAUUUAUUAGAGGGGGUUCUGGAGAGAGUAGGUUGUUCAUGUGGGCGGCGUCGAUGGUAGAUGUGUGAUUUUUGUGUGUUUUAUAUAUCAUUUGAAGUUAAAGGAAAAGGAGCAAGAAAAAACAACAAUCUUACGAGCCCCAGUUGAGGUGUUGUCCUAUUGAAGACUGAUAACAUGUAAGAUAUGGCUUGAUUCCGUACCUGAUUCACCUGUUAUGAACUCCAUAUAAAACUCAGAAUAAAACAAAGCAAAACCGGUCCCUUGGCAUAAACUACAAACUUCGGCUGGAUGUUAUUUUGAACAAGAUAUGCAUGUAAGGGUGACGUUGCUGCCGACACUGACCAAAGAAACUAGCAGUAUUUUGAAGGAAACGCCACGUUUUAGAAUGUCUAUAAUUUAGAAAUCGCCAAAGCCAAGUUGCUUGAUUCUCUUUUAUACGAUUUCUUCAUCUCGGAGGCUAGAACUAACUUCGUUAUUUGGAAAUCAUGACAGGUGGUAAGUGUUGACGAACCAGAUCAUGAUCAAUAGUUACACAAGGAAUGAAAGAAACACCCAAAAAUGGGCACUCCCAGAGGUUCCACUACUUUCACCUCAGCAGAGAUGUUAACAAUGCUUUACAAGCCAGACAGUCGUCUUCAUUUUGAGGCCAAAACCAUUAUCUGUGGCAUGUGAAAAGCUCAAGAAAGAAACAAAAGAAGAUAAAGAGCAAGAGAGAAUGAGAUCUUUAAAAGAAACUCGUGGUCUUGAUAACCUUUACAGCUAUAGAGAGCAAAUUCGGUUGAUAAGCAAGGAAGGACCAUCAACCAUCCAUGGUCCACCACCACAUGUAUUUGUACAUAUUAGGGAGCCACCACAUUUAAACUCUGGCUAGCCAAAAACCACAAAGCAGCAGCUAUCUGCUCCUUUCAAGUGGGUCAUGUCACUUGUGAAGCAUAUUCAGAAAUGAGUGAAGCCAUCAAUAAGGACGCUCUUUGGGGCAUACGAAAUUGUAAUUUUAGUCCAUUCAGGAAAAUACAAUGGAACAAAGAGUAACUACAUUACAGCAGUAAAUCCACCCCAACUCCAAAAGUAGAGGAAAAAUAGCAGCCAGCCCUAGGCGACAAGUACUAUAAUUAGCCCGGCUGUAGCCUGGUAAGCAAGUCAAAAUUCGUUCUUAGAGAGCCUUCAGAAGCUGAUGAUCAAGUUACUUUCUUGGCAAUUCUUGCGAGUACGGUUUACCCUAAUAUCCCCUAUGAGGAGAAGAAAUUAAGGUUCAGUUUUCUCCCGGCGGUUCCCUAAUAUCCCCUAAGAUUUUGGAGGUUAUGAGUGCAAGCAGCUUCUUUCAACCUGGACACGCUCCUGAAAUAUUCAUUAAUGUUGCGGGGCAUUAGUAAUUGGCAACACAUUGGAUGCAAAAUUCACACAAGAAUAAGAAAGGUAGGAGCUUGAUUAGCUGAGAGAGAUUAUAAAGAGAGUUUUGACAGGCGAUGUAUUUCAUUUCUGGAAUAAGAUACCACUGUUCUUGUUACAAGCCAGCUCAUGAAUUGUUUUGUUAUGCAGUGUGGAUUCAACUACGAAAAUGUAAUUAAAAUUCAAGAACAUGCCACCACGCUUUUGGCAUCCUGUUAUUAGUCUCACUGCAACACAAUAAACUUGCUGUAAAUGGAGUUGAGCACACACCUUAAGUUAUCUGCUUUCAAGUUUAAGAACCAACCAAGGCUGGCAGAAGCACACAGAAGCGCCAAAUCUUGGAGAACUCUCAGUAUGGAUGCAAACCAGUGGGUUUUUGCAAGUUUAAAAUGCCUGCUUUAAACCUAAGACAGCGGGCUGGAUUUAAAAUGGUAGCAAAGUAUCUCUAGGAACUAAUAUACAUUAAUUGUUCAAGAUCAAUUGAUUAAAAUGGAUAGAAAAGCGAUGAAACUAAACAGUGAUACAAAGAUGAAGCAGAGAACUUCAUCUGCUUACACAAAAGCUACACCUACGAUACAAAAAUACACAUCAAGGGAUCUGAAACUUCAUGUAGUCUUGUGUUCCAGGAGGACUAAUGUACACCCACAGCAAAGAAAUGAUGAUGGAGAGCAAUCCGGACCACACAUAGACAAUGGUUGGGACCCUUCCCCUCCUUCCCAUCAAGCCUUUGGCAAAGGGGUAAAGAUGGGACAAAACCCAGAAGCUGAAGAACACUCCUCCAACGAGCCUGCUCCACUGUGGAAAUGGGCUAUACAAAGUUCUUGCAACUCCUACUGCAAUUGCAAUCAGGUUCAGCAUCAUUAUUGUAAUAGGAGGGACCAUUAAAAAGCUCCACUUAACCACAUAUAAGUCAGCAAAUUCAUCAUCUGCAUCUUCAGGCGUGGCAGAUUUAGAUGUCAAAGUGAAUGAGAUGUCAACUCCUGCUAUAACCUUCAGUAGUCCUUGUAAAACUGCUGCAGGAUGGGCACUUGUUCCACCAAUCAACCAAAACUGUUCGUUUCGCCACCAAUCAUGAAGUGUGAUUCCUGACCAUUUGAUUUCUAGAAUUGCAAGCAAGCAUAGGGUGAUGGUGAUGGCCAACAAGAGGACUAGAAAGGUCACACUGAGGGAUUGGACUAUGAACUGGCCAGAAAAAAGAGAAAUUGCAGGUAGGACGCAAUAAACUAUGAGAAACAUGGAUGUGAAAGGGUACAUUCCGCAGUUGAAAUAUGCCACCCUCUGUAAGAAUUUCAUCCGGCGAGUAGCAAAUAGAGCAUUGUUCCGUGAAAAGAAGAUUUCUACCGAGCCUGUUGCCCAUCGAAGGACUUGGUGGAGCCUGUCUGUUAGAUUAAUGGGUGCUGUGCCUCGAAAUGCAUCCCUUUUGGUUACACAAUAAAUCGACCUCCAUCCUCUAUUGUGCAUACGAUAACCAGUCACCACAUCUUCUGUUACCGAACCAUAUAUCCAUCCGACUCUUUUUCCCCACUCAGUUUUGUCCUCGUAGAAACAAGAGAUAACACUAAUUGCCUCUGCAACAGUUGCAGCAUCUAAAGGCUCACGAGGCACCGCAAGGGAACCAGCUGGUCUUCCUUGUUUACCCGUUUCUUGCAAAUCUUGAAGCAGCCUUCCCUGGUAUUCUGCAACUGGGAUGGAUGCAGCUAGAGAAGUAGAGUUCCCAAACCUUUUAGGCAGAAGCAAAGACUCAAUAUCUGCAUCAUCAUCAUCGCUAUUCUGGUCCCCAUUGAUUGGCAAAGCCAUCUCAUCCUCUUGCUUCUUUGCGGCCUUGGGUUUCCUCAAGAACAGUUUAAUUUUCUUCCUACCAAACCAUCCGUAGUGCUCUGUAGUUCUAGGAGGACUAAACCCAUAAAGAGCUGUUCUGCGGAAAAUACAACCUGUCCCAACAUACAUAGGACCCUGUAGGCCAUCAAGAGCUCUCAUGCUCACAUCAAAGAAUACUGUAUUAUGGUUAGCAUACCGAUCGCUUGGAUCAAUCCCUUCAAACCUUUGUGGGAACUGAACAUAACAGAUCCUAUCACCACCCCUAUCAAGCAUAAAGCACAUCCCUUCCCUCAAAGCCAAGGAGUUAUAGAUGUAGUGAUCACAGUCCAGAUUCAGAAUGAAUGGACCAUUUGACAUGAUUGCGCUGGUUCUCACUAAAGCAUUCAUUGCCCCAGCUUUCUUGUUGUGAUCAUAAUCUGGCCUUUUCUCUCGAGACACAUAGACCAACAUUGGCAAUCUGAUAUCAAUUUCUGUGGUGUCAAGCAAGUUUUCACCAUCUGCUUCUACACCAAAAACAGGUUCUGCAUUUGGAGGAGCUAGCAUAGCCUGAAAAGAAAAGCAAAAAUGUUGAAGGACACUCUAUUCAACAUCUCAUUCUCUAGAAAAUUUACAAAAACUCAUAAGCAAGAGAGUUACCUGGAUUACACCUGCAUGGUCUCCUUUUGAGUGGUCUGCUUCUCCAGAAGUCCAAGUUCCCGGCCAAUGAGAACCAUCUGACAUCCAGGUAGCCUUUGGUACCUUCACAAUUUCUGAUGGAUUGCCCCCCAUUUCCAUCUGAUUCUUCCUCGCUCGAAGCUCUUCAUGGGCAUUAUAGGCAUCUGAUCUUCUCCUAAUUGACUCCGUCAGUGAAUUGAUCCUCACCUUAAAUUCAUCAUAUUCUCUCUUUACUCUUCUCCUCUCUCUAACAAAAUCAAGUCUCACUUUGUUCUUAAGAAAAUCGCGUUUCUGCCCAAAAUAAGCCUCAGGGUUCCUGGGUUCUAUAUUGUGUUUCCUACAGAAAGGAACCCAAAUUCUGGCAAAGCUAGCUGUCUCAGCCAGAGCUUCAAACGUCAAAAGAGAUCCACCAUCAUCUGAUAAGUAACAAGCCAGCUUUUCUACCGGAUAAUCAACUGCAAGGAUCGAAAGGAUGGUGUUUGCAGUGACCAAAGGAGGCUCUUUUUCAGGGUCAGCCGUGGAAACAAACACAUCAAUGCCUGGAAGGUCUGAUCGGCCUUUUGGGUUUCGAAGACUGGGGGAUUCAAAGCGCUGUUUCAGCACAGAGAGGUCAGUCACUCUGUUUACAGGGCAGAGCUUAGGGAGCUGAUCAAGAAUCCAUGACACACCAAACCAUAACUCACAAGUUAUGGACAUCCCCCACAACCACAUUGCUUCGCGAUUGGGGUGUCGGAUUCUCCAUGUUAGGAAUAGACCAAGAGCCGCAAGACGUAUCAUGAUGAGUAGUCUGCAUAGUAAUAAAAAACUUCACAUUUUAGACACUAAUCAAAACACAGGCGGUGCAGCGCCUAAAAAAUUCGUAUUGAAAUUGAUUUAACAACACAAAUUGAGUUGUUCAUCAUCCAGUACCACUUAAAAUCACAUUAUUUACACAUAAAAAAUUCACUAAUAAUCACAUAAUCUAUACAGAUUACAAACAGAGUGAUAAACUCCCACUUCCAAACGACAAUUAGCAUAAAACCCAUCUUCUGAAACCGUAAGUAACCCAAUAAAUUGAGAAUAUCAAACCAGCACAUAUGUGAUCUAAAACAUAUAACCAAAUACUAAACCAUGAAAAUCAAAUGGCGAGUAGCAUUAAUGAUUAAGUUUUUCUUUCUUUCCGGUUUAUAUCAAGCCAUAUAGCCAAAAUCAUAGAUUCAAGUGUAUGGGUUUUUUUUUACCUGUAAGGGCUGAGAAUUGCAGCAGAAACCCCAACCUUCCUGGUCAAAGGCCUCCUACUUCUCUCUCCAAAAUCUGGAGGAGGCUCAAAUCCAUUAGCACCUGAUCCAGCACCAUACCCAUCUUUAGGCCACACAGCAUUUCCAUAACCAUAAGUCCCCUUCGUCUCAAACAACCACCUAGUAUGGUCAAAAUCAGGAGGAUGGCUCUGCGCCUUAAACGACUUCACAAGUGAAAGCCUCUUAUCCAAUUUAGGCAAUGGUAGUGCCUGAUCAUCUGCUUCACUUUUAGCCUCAUCAUAAUCAUAAUCAUCGUCAUCCUCAGCUUCAUCAUCAGCAUCCUUGUAUGGUUCCUUGCAACCAGGACAAUGCCCCCCUCCAUUAGACCCUACACAAUCUAAAUAACAAUCUCUACAAAUCUUGAACCCACAUUCACAUUUUCCCCUAAUUGCUUUCUCAUCACAACCUUUCAUUCCACAAACAAGCCCAGAUUUCAGAGACUCGUUGUUUUCCAUUGAGCAAUCAACUACAUGCCCGCGUGUGACAGAAUUGAACCCACCAGUGAAAAUAGUACCAGAAAUGAAACUCCUCUCAGGUUUGGCAGCAUUUGUGAUGUCUUCAGCUAGGCUUGUCUGUGAAGCUGAGAAGCUCUGGUGAUCUGGAGUGGGAGGUAUAUGGACAGUGUAGGAGACGAACUCUGAAUUAAUCUCCUCCGUGGUAUCAUCUCUGGACAUUGAACAGUAUCUGCCUCCACUUGGGGUUCUGUUUCUACUGUUGCUAAGAGGGGAAUUUGGGUUGUUUGAAAUGGAAGCUCUUGGUACUGGACUAGUUAAGCCCAUGCUUCUACUUCCUCCUCCUUUGCCUCCUGAGGAGACUGUUAUGGUCACUGGAGAUGAACAUGGAGAACUAGCCCUUUUCACCAUUUUCUUUGAUGCUUAAGGGUUUUUUUUUUGUGUUUUUUUAAAAACCUCUCUCACGAGUGGCACAUUCGAAUGCUGAGGCUUGUAUUGUAUCUUUGGAAAGUAAGAGAAUGUAAAAUGAAGAGAACCCAAAGGAAGUUAAGUAGUUUCAAGUGAAGAUGAAGAUCUUCAACGGAGAUGGCAACGGCUCGAUUUGAAUGUUUUUGAGGCUUUUGGAAAAGGGUUGGGGUUUCAUCACAACAACGGUCGUUUAAUCUGAACCGUAAAUGGGAAGUGAUCUGACGGUUAGAUUUUGAAUGAAACGGUCGGGUGUGGUCCCUGCUGGGAAGAAAGUCAAAAGGGUAGGCCCAAUGGCUUUUCUCAUUUUAUAUAUAUAUAUAUAUAUAUAUAUAUAUUUUUUUUUUUUUUAAUGGAUGGGUUUUCUUAAAGUAAAAGCCGUUGGGGUGCUCUUCGAUUCCACAAGUUACCGUGUGCACGUCGCCAGAGUAUCUAUUUGCAAACAAUUGAGUUCUCUUCCUUCUUCCCUUUUCCAAGUAAAAAACAAAUUAUUAAAAUUGACUCUGAAUAUAAUUAUUUAAGGGUUAAGAAAAUAAAAUAAAAUCCAAUUAUAAGAUCGGAAUGUAAAAUGGUAAGAUGUUACAAACUGCAUGUGAUAUGUAAUUCAAAGUUACACGCUUGUUUUUUAGUUUUAAAAAUAUUUUUUUAAAAAAUAAUUUUAUUUAUGUUUUCAGAUCGUUUUAAUAUAUUAAUAUUAAAAAUAAUUUUUUAAAAAUAAAAAAUAUUAUCUCGAUAUAUUUCCGAACAAAAAAUACUUUAAAAAAUAAUCACCACCACACUUUUAAACACGUAUCAAAUAAUAAUAACAAGAACCGUUAUUACAGGGAAAAUCUAUUUUUCUCAAAAGUUCAAAAACACAUAAAAAAUUAAAAUUAAAAAAAAACAUAUAUUUUAGAACAAAUCAAGUUUAAGUUUAUGUGUAUAUAAUUAAGGAGUAAGGAGUCAUCUUAAGCUAAAGCCACUAAAGAAAAUAGCUACUUUAUUCAAAAGGGACAUGUAAAAAGCUUUUCAAACUCAUCCCUCGAUUGUCUUUACUGUCGUUUUCUCGUGCAAUUUUAGAAUCUAGAGAAUUCAAAGUUAUCCGUUAGCUUUAGUGGGCCUUGGUCUAAAAGACAAGCCAUGCAACAAAGUUGUUCGGUCAAGUUAGUCAGGCCUUGACCUAAGUUAGAGGGCUUCGACCUAUGCAAUAAUCACGUGCUAGCAUGCCCUUGCAUGCUGCUCAAACUCUCUAAUCCACAUGCUCUGGUGCGCACUUAAUUAUUUGAGGGCACGUGCCAUGUCAGCACAACAUUGCAGCGUCAUUACACAUAGCGGCACACGCUUACUUCUCAAUUGCAAAGAUCAUAUAUGGCUCCAACACGAAUUGUUGUCGUGAUCUUGGUUGCUAAAAUUACUAUUUACUUGUAAAAUUAUAUAAUUUUAUUUUAUAUAAAAUAUAUAAAAUUGAGUUAAAAACUCGAAAUCGGUUAAACUCGCUCAAAAUCGGUAAAACUCGGUAAAACUCAGUCACAAUUGGUAAAACCGGAUCGAUUUCACGAGUUUGAAAAAAGUUAAAAAAUUUGCUUACUCCAUGUCCUUGAGUCCCUCGACACUCCACCCCAGUCUCCCCUUUCCCCUUUGUUGAAAUCUCAAAUUCUCAACCUUAGCAAACUAACACCAGCCGUGACUAAAAAGUGAGAGAUCGCGAGAAAGAGACGAAGUCGAAAAGGAGAGCAAUGUCUUGGCCUUCUCGCUUCAGAUCAACUGAAAAGGCAUGUCAUGUGAUUUUCUCUUCUGCUUUCGACUCCUGGUGUCUGCAACCGCAGUAGAGAUCGUAGAUCUAUAUGUUCCUGUUUAAUCAUAACAAGUAAUUGCAUCAAAGCUAGUCUUUUAUAAGAUUAUGUUUUAAUUCUCUAAGAGUGACGUUACUUCCAUCCCUACUCUCAAAAGAAAAGGGUCAAUCAUAAAUUAGGAGAUCAUAAAGUUAUGCAUCGUGAUUUUAAUAAGAAGAUUUAGGAGUUAGGACUCCAUAUAUGUAAUGAAUAUAUUAAACUUAAUUAGGAUUAAUAGAUUAAUAUCUCUCAUUUCAUGAUUAACAUUCAGUUUUGUGCCUUUCAUUGCAAAGAAAUCAUUUUCCUUUUCUCCUCCGCUAGCUGCUACUAAUACUGAGGCAGGGUUGUUAUUUGCAACCUUGACUUCCUUUUCUAAUGCCCGAAUGGAAUCAACUUGCCUCGUUUGAUGAUCGACUACUACUAUGGAUCCAUUUGGUUUCUCAUCUUUUGUUGCUGACCUAAAGCUAUGCAUAUUUCUAUCAAUAUUUUCUGGUGUUGGAGGAGAUCUCUUUCCUGCAGUAGAUCUAGAAACAACCUUGCCACUGCCAUCACUAUUUCUUGAUGACGACCCAUUACCAGCACCUGAUUGCUUUUCUAGAUUCCAGGUCAUGGCCACAAAAGAAAAAAAAAGAAAAAAGAAAGAGAUGCAAACUUGCUGAUGAGAAAUGCUUUGGUUUGGUUUUGACUAGAAGUGAAAGAAAUGCUUGCUGAUGACAUACAAACAAACAAACAAAAAUGAGUUUUUUUCAAGACUAGAAGUGAAUAUAGAUCAAUGGAAAAAAAGGGGAGAGCAUAAAAUUUAAUACCCACCUAAAAUAAGAAAAAGAAAAGAAAAGCAUAUAACCAAUACCAAGUUAAGAUUAAAGUUUUGCCACCUAAAAUAAUAUACAUAACUGUGUUCUAAGAACAAAAAAAGAAGAAGAUUAUAAAACACAUUUCACAAAUAUCACCAAUACCAAGUUAAGAUUAAAGUUGUGCCAUGAACGACUUCUUCUUCCUAAACUGCAGUUCUAACUAUGAACCGUGGUAUUUUGUCCAACUCUCUACACUCUACAUUAUACAUCUUUGUUGAUGCAUAUAUUGAUUUUUGAACUGCAGGAUAUAUCGCAUCUAAAAAAACUACCAGUGGCAAUAAACCUGACGUGGGAUGACAAUAUAAUAUAUAUGCUGAUAAGAAUUCAAGAAGAGUUUAGUGCAAGUAUUGUCAGAAAAUUUUUAGUGGAGGCUAUGUUUAGUUUACAUGACACACCAAUAAAUUAUUUGUUUUAGGUUUGUUAACUUUUAGUUAAUGAAAUUCUAUGAAUAUAAUUAUAUUAUAUUAUAUUUUUAAGUUAUUUAAACCAUGUAUGAAUUUUUAUUUGAAUUAUGUAUUUUAAGAUGUUUGGACAUUUAUAUUGUUUAUUUCAUUUUUAUUUUAAUUGUGUUAUAUUAUUAUUUACUACUUGACUGGAAUGGUCAAUAUAUAAUUAGUUAAAAUAUUUUACUUGUGAUUUUAUGAUUUAACGAUUCGAGUUUAUAUUGUAUAUUCCGUGUCGUGUCAAAAAAACAUUAAAAAAACAUUUUUGACAACCUUGAUUGCGAUGUUUACCUUUUUUAUUCUUGUUCUUUUUAUUAUAUUUUUUUAUGAUUUACAAAGUUAAUUAUCAGAGAGUCCACUAUUCUAAUAAAAAAAUUGUUUUAUAGGAGUUUAGGAACUAACCUAACUUAAUUUAAUUAAAAUUCCUCUAAAUCCCAUUGUAUCAAUCAUUGAAAGGCCUAAUUUAAUUUGAAGUUUUUUUUAUUUCAUUAGUGAUACUACUAUAUAUGAGAAAUAAACAAAAGCCAAUUCAUUUCUAUUUUACACAUCACUAAAAGCUCUUUCCAUGGAUGUUGACUUGGAAACACUAGGACAUGAAAGAGAGUAAUUGACGGCCCCAUAGUACGUACACUAACUCUUCCAAGUCUUUAAUAAAUCACCCAUCAAAUAAAAGUGUUCACCGAAAUUGUUCUAACUAUACAACAUCAUCUUUGAACUUUGCCAUUCUCAUUACACGUGACACAACUAUAUUACAUGCAUCACCAAAUGCAUGUAGACAACUCUAUUUUCUUAAAGAGAUAGGGUAGAAUUGAUCGCCACGGGUUACGUCCAACAAUUUACAAAGAAAAAAAUGUAACUUAAACAAUAAAAGGAAAGAGGUCAGUGUAUCCCACAAUAUAUUGUUUGAGAUAAGAUAGUUUUAAGGAAUUGUAUCUCCACUUAUAUAAAAAUAUUUUUUGAUUUUUUUAAUGAAAAUAACAAUAUUAUCUUUUUGAAUAAUCUCUAUACAUUUUUCUUCAUGGUAUUGCUUAUCUCCAUGUUUCUAAAUAAAUCCUCAUCUCUCCAACAAAAUCUCAAUAUCUCUAAAUGAAGUAUCCAUGCAAAAUCUCAAUUUGUCCAAUGAAAUUUCUAUGUCUCUAUAUAGUGAUAUUUACUAAGCAUUCAUCUUGGAAAAUUUUUUCAUUGAUUCUCUAUUAUCAUUUGCACAAUCCUUACUGCAAUACAACUUUUGCUACCACAAAGUACUUUUCAUUUUAUUUUAAAAUGUUCUCCAUCCUAGGUACAUUUCUCAUCUGGAUCAAAUUUUAAAACUACUUAUGACAAUUAGAAAAUACGUGAAAAUUCUCUAUGUUUUUCUCUUGGCAAGCUCUUAACCAAAUAAAUAGGUCAUGAAAAGUAUGCAAAUAGACAACACGCCAAACAAAAUCACAAUACAGAACACAACACAAUACAAUAAAUGACAAUCACAACAUACACUCUCAUAUGUUUUUUGUUCUCGUUUUUUUUAUCUCACACUAUUUUUCUUAUACAAUUUACUAACUUAAACAUAAAAGGAUCCUUACAUGAAACUUGUUUUAUAGGAGUUCAGAAACUAGCCUGACCCAAUUUAAUAAAAAUUCCUUUGACCUAAUUUAAUAAAAAUUCCUUUAAAGCCAAUUGCUCUAGUCCUGUAAAGUUCAAUUCAAUUUGAAUUUUUUUUUUUUGUUAUCAUCAUCAAAGUAUUUUCUAUCGUUUAACAUUAAUAAGCCUUGUUAUUGAGUACGUUAAAUUCAUCCAAUCUAGAAAAGAAAAAAAAUUGUUAAGCAUUAAAAAUAUUUAGCAUCGUCUUAAUUAAUAACCUAUAAAUAGAUGUCAUAUAUAAAAUCUACAGUUAAAUUUGUUAGUAUCCAAAUCAUAAAAAUUAAAUACCAUAAAAUCUACAAUUAAUUUUUUUUUAAAAAUCUAAAGUGCUAGAUAUCAACAACGCCUCUGAGAUUAAAAUCAAACACAGAUUAAAACAAGAAAAGCAAAAAAGAACCCAAUUUCAAAGAGAAAACCCAAAAAUAUAUGCUGAUGUAAAAUCGUAAAAAAUCUCAUGAGAUCCCAAUUUUCUGACUUUUAGGGAUUUUAAUCAUUCAGGGUUAUUUGCAUUGUUAAAUUUACAAUUCUCUAUUCUUUUCUUUAGGAGGCAGUGGUUUAAUUCGAUUGUUUUACAUACUCCAUUUGAAAUUGCAUUGUUGGAGUAGCUACCCUUUUCAUCAUUGUGGAACGAGCAUGGAGGACCUCUGUUUAUUCCUUCUGCUUUAGCUGGUUUCAUGGUGGACAUGGUUGAAUUGCAACAAACUGAUUGUUAAAAAGAUUUCAAAUCUUGACGGGUUAUGCCGUAUAGACGUAUAGUGUAAUUUCAUCUUGUGAUAAAAGAAAGAGAUCUAAUGAUAAUGUAAUUAAAAUCAAAAGGGAAAACUCUGUGUGAUUUUUUCCUGAGAAUUUGAAAACAGUUGAAUAUCCUUUUGUUUUGAUUAGGAGGGCAUAGCCCUAAAUCAUCCUAUGAAAAACGAGCAACGCCGAUCUCCAGAGAAUGACCGUAAUUAGUUAGGCAAUCCACGCAGCUGUUAGCUUUUUUACAGACACGAGGAAUCUGAACUUGCCUAGAACGCUUCAAAUAGGAAUAAGAGUUGUUCGACUUAUCCCCCUGAGUAAUAUUCAACCCCACCGCAAGAGUAGAAUCUACCUCCGACACCACCUGCUUAGACCUGCCCUCCUUUCCAAGCUAAAUCCGGUCCUAUGAAGAUACCCACAACUUUGACUCCUUUCAUGGCUACUAAAAGUUUACAUGGUAGUUAUUUUUAGACUCUGUAAAAUUAAUUGAGAUAUGUGUAAACCGAUCCAAACACCAAUACAUGUGCAUGGGAUUAGUCGUGGCAUUUUGAAGGAAAGCACCAGCCAACAAGCUCUCCCCUCCCCGCUCGAGAACCCAGCUGUGAAUAAUGGCAGCUUCACUAGUGCAUGGGAUAGUAUCGAUCAGUAGCCAAUCUUUCGAGACAAAGGUGGUAAAAAUCCAGCAUCAAAUAUAGCAGCAUUUCUCCAAUUCCAUAUCUGCCAACAGUUGAUUCAAGAUGCUCGAUUGGUAUUGGUGUUUUUUUAAAAGGAUCUAGCUUAAAUUCGAGCCUUUCUUUUGUAAGAAGAAAAAAUAAAACGAGUGAUUCUAGAUCAAGUAUAUAUGCCUUAUCUCUUUAAAAAAGAAAAGUUCUAUGCUUGACAGAGACUCGUGCAAAUUCAAAAGGGCAUGCAAAUUGCUUUUGUGAAUUCAAAUUGAUUAUAUAAAAACAUGGUAUGUGCCAUAAAAAAUAAUUAAAUUUAAAUAAACAUAAAACUUCAAAUCGGAAAUAAUAUCUGAAAAAUAUUUAAUGCUGGUGGGGAUACACAUACACCUUAAAUCAUGUUGAAUAUAGCUAGGAAAUGAAGAAGAACAUUUAAAUACACCAUACACCUUAAAUCAUGUUGAAUAUAGCUAGGAAAUGAAGAAGAACAUUUAAAUACACCUUGAAACGAAUAUAAUAUUUAUCUAUAUAUACACAUCAGCAUCACUUGAAUAUAUAUAUAUAUAUAUAUAUAUAUAUAUAUAUAUAUAUAUAUAUAUAUAUAUAUAUAUAUAAUAGGCGAUGAGAUGAAUGGUUUUUCUCCUAAAGAAAUAAAUAAAUAAAUUAGAUGGCUAGUAAUUUAAUCAUAUUAUAUGGAGAAAUAUCCUUAUAAUUCAAUCCGAAAUAGGCUGUCAUGCAUCAUUAGAAUAUGAGAUUUUUUUUUAUCACUAUCAGAAUAUUUCAUGAUAAAGAAACAAUUGGUCUCGCAAGCAUGGUAGUAAACGCAUCCAUACGUUUGAAAAAGAAAGAUUAUAUAAGGAAAGAGAAAGCUUCAAAGUUUUACUUGGUAAAAAUAUAAUUAAGAUUAAAAGACACGCUAAUUUGCUGGAAGGAGAGAUAUAAUUGCAUAGGAACUGGGAAUAAGCUAAGCCAAAGAUUAUACAAGCACGAACUGACGAAAUACUACGCUGUACAUAACAACGACCCGCUGCCACGUGACGCGACCUGGUCUUUCCAUCCAUUUCCUUUCUCACACAAAAAUAAGUUAUUAACGGUUAGAAUAUUCAAAACUACACAGACCAGUUCCUCCCUCUAUGAUCUCAUGCUCUCCUGAUUGUUUGCCGGCACGCCACUUUGAUUUACCAAUUCCAUGCCAAGCUUCUUUAGCUACUCCACUUCCUUCCUUCUUUGCCCACUACUGUCACCCUUCAUUAAUUCUUUCUUCUUGUUAACCCAUAGUAAUAUUCUUCAUCAUCGAAGACCAUGGCUAUCAGAAAUCUGUGUGUAAUACUCGUUAUAAUCUCACUUUCUGCGUACAGUUCUCUCUCUCAGGCGCCGCCACCGCCACCGAAUUCCACUUGCAACGACGUGUUCGUCUCCUACACCUACAACAGAGGUCGUUCUAUACCCCCCUUUGAUCCCACAAACCAAGCGUACAGGUUCGAAUCCACUGUCACGGUGCUCAACAACGGACGGGAUGAGCUCAAGUCGUGGAGGGUCUAUGUUGGGUUUCAAUAUAAAGAGCGCUUGACUUCCGCAACUAAUGCUGUGUUGGCUGAUGGGACCCCUCUGCCUGGUUUUGUUGGAAACGGUACAGAAUUUGUUGGGUUUCCUGAGACUGACCUCAAGACUGCUAUUGAUACAGCAGGAGAUUUGACCCAGAUGGAGGUUCGGGUCGAGUUGGUGGGCACCCAAUUUGGAGUUGGAGAUCCUGGUAUUCCUCUGCCAAAUAAUUUGACUCUUGUUAAUGAUGGCUAUACUUGCCCUGCUGCCACAACGCAAGGUAUGUCAUUUCAAAUAUGUUAAUGAAGAAUAGUUCAGUAUUAAGCUGUGUCUGCGCGUGACUAUCAAAAUUAUUUAUUUAUUUCAGAGAAAAGGACUUGUUAUAAUUUCGAAUUUGUGAUAGAAAUUGCAAAGAAUUGCUUAGAGGAGAUUAUUUCAUAGAAAUACCCUGUGUAUAUUGCUUUUGUGUUGAAAUAGAAAUUUAUAUAUAUACUACUGUUCAGAAGCCUAACAAUGGUGUAGUGCUCUGAUAUUUGGGGCUUGUAGAUGAGAAGCAAAAUUCAGGAUAUUUAUGUCCGAACUUCUUGUCAAUCUUUUCACAUUCUUUUUGUCAUUGAAGAACAGAUUUGAACUUGUUUGUCGUUGACGAUGGGCUAUUGUCUGACCUGUACAGGAAACGAGAUGCACGUGUGCUGCAUCAGGAAUGUGAGUUCUAGACCAGACAACAAUCUGGAAGAUAAUUUCCUGCCACGCCAAGAUGGUGAUGUUAUCAUCAUGUAUGAUGUAAUCAGAACAUAUGAGGAUUAUUAUUGGGCACAGGUUAACAUUUCAAAUCAUAAUCCUCUUGGGCGUCUUGACAAUUGGAAAUUAAACUGGGAGUGGAUGAGUGAAGAAUUUAUCAAUGCCAUGAAAGGAGCUUAUCCUUCUGUUGUUGAUACAAGAGAUUGUAUUUAUGGCAGGCAAGGUCAGCACUACCCGAAAAUGGAUUUUUCUCAAGCAUUGAGUUGCGAGAAAUUGCCUACAAUUAUUGACCUUCCUCCAACAAGUGAAAAUGAUACAAACCUUGGCUUGUUCCCCCUGUGUUGUCGAAAUGGAACAAUUCUAUCACCUACCAUGGAUCCGAGCAAAUCUUUUUCAGUUUUCCAGAUGCAAGUGUUCAAAAUGCCACCAUAUUUGAACAGGUCAUUGCUCAUUCCACCACAAAACUGGAAGAUCAAUGGGACAUUUAAUUCAGACUUUGAAUGUGGGCCUCCAAUACCAGUGAGUCCAAGCCAUCUCUCUGAUCCAAAUGGUUUGCCUUCAAAAAGAUCAGCAGUUGCCAGUUGGCAAGUGGUUUGCAACAUAACACAUUUCAAGGACCAGAGCCCAAAAUGUUGUGUGUCAUUCUCAGCCUUUUACAAUGAUUCUGUUGUUCCAUGUAGUACCUGUGCUUGUGGCUGCAACACCAACCCAAGCCAAACCUGCAGUGCUAAUGAAACAGCUCUUCUACUACCAUAUUCAACUCUUCUACUCCCAUUUGAGAACCGGACUAGAGAAGCCUUGGAAUGGGCAAGAAUUAAAAGGAUGACUGUGCCAAACCCACUUCCAUGUGGAGAUGGUUGUGGAGUUAGCAUAAACUGGCACGUACUUUCAGAUUACAGAGGUGGCUGGAAUGCAAGGAUCUCUCUUUUCAACUGGGAUGAUAAUGCCUUUGCAGAUUGGUUUGCUGCCGUGCAAUUAGACAAUGCAGCACCAGGCUUUGAGAAGUUCUACUCUUUCAAUGGAAGUGCCCUGCCUGAAUCCAACAAUACACUAUUUAUGCAAGGUUUCAAAAACUUGAAUUAUCUUCUGGCAGAAAGAGAUGGAGACAACCCAAGAAAGGAUCCUCGGGUUCCUGGCAUGCAGCAAUCAGUAAUAUCAUUCACUAAGAAAAAAACCCCUGGCAUUAACGUGGCUGGUGAGGAUGGGUUUCCAACCAAAGUUAUCUUCAACGGUGAGGAGUGUGCUCUCCCAGCAAUACGUCCAAGCAGUGGUCAUAAGACAAAUGCAGCUCCUUUCGCCUUUGUUAUAGUUUUGGCUUUAUUGUUCAUUCAUUGAUUGCCUAUAAUGCAGGUAUUACCACUUCUAUUUUUCUUCAAAAUUUAUCAAGCAGCUGCUAAUUUCUUGAUUGUUGGAUUGAUUUGUAGGCUCAGUUUAGUCUGCAGCGCCAAAUUACACGUUUGGCAACUUGGAUCGGGUUGUAUUUAGAAUUUAAACCAUUAUUAGUUUAUUACAGAUUGGAGGUUCUAUUGGCUUCUGUGAUAGACCACCAUGGUGCUGUGACCACAAAUUAUGAUGAGAAAAGACAUCGUUACUUGUUCUUAUUGGCAAUCAAGCGUGUAAUUAGCAUUUGAAGAAAGCAACUUUUCUGUUAUUCCAUUUUUUAUGUGCUUUAGAGCCGCACUUUUGCCCCUUUCUUUUCUUUACUUGGUUAAUUGGACGGUCUACGAACUAAACCUCGUGGGAGACAGGCAAUGGAGUUGCCUUGUUCUGUUCCUUAAUCUAUAUCCAUCAAGUACUCGGUUUAUCAGUUGGGCUGUAUUUUACAUACAAUUUACACCAUGUCUAGAGAGGAUGAGAGAGAGGAAAAUAGAGAAUAAUUAUCCACUGCAAUUUACACACCCGUGCUUCUCUUGUUUGGUUGGAAGGAGAUUUGAGAGGAAAGAAACAAGGGGGAAAUGGCAAAAUGUCCAACAGUCUAUUUCUUCCUUCUCAAUCUUUCAUGUUCAGAGAAGUUAAAGAACGAGUUGAGCGCCUAAUUCAUCCCAUCUUGUUCAUCCAUUCUACCUCCUUAUUGCUUAAUAAUAAUUUCCACCAGAAACAAACACGAUAUAAGAUUUAAAAGUGAACAGAUUAACAAUGAAGAAACUAUAAGCUUUGUCUAAACGCAACUCAUAAGCUAUCAAACGGCAUUUAUGCAAGCCCACAGGCAACAUUGAGUUUGUUCUGGUUGGUAAUUCAGCUCGCAUCAAAGAUUAUCAAUUCGCACACUAGCCCUUCAGUCUAAAUAUGUACAAUGUUGAUCAAAAUGAGAAAUCAGAUAUAACCAGCUUGAUGAGAGAGAGGGAUCCAGGCUAGUUAAAAGAUCAAUGAAUGUCUGCCUAAAAUAGAAACAUUAAACCAAGUUUCGAAUAUGAAUAAGAUGGUAUCUAAUCUUGGUUUUCCUUGAAGGAGGAAGCAUCGCAUGAGAAAUAUUACAGGUCAAAGAGGAAUAGGAUCUCUCCUCGCUGAAGAAUCAUUAUCAGAUUGCCAGGCAGUGGGGUUAUAACCUAUCAAGUGGUUCGGUGCGCUGUUGAGGACAAAAGAACCUUAAUUAGUUCCUACCCUACUCUUGUUUAAGAAAUGGUGAAUAUUGAACUGUAUGACCUUCAAAAAGCUUGGAAAAUGAGUGAAUUCCCAGAAAACUAACCUCCAAGAAUGGUUCCUGCAAGAUCUCACUUUGAUCUAAUUGUUGGAGGAAAAAUAAAGAAUCACAGUUCAACUGAGGCAUAGUGUCAGCCUAGAUCUCACAAAAAUUACAAACUAAAAGGCUUUGAGAAUGAAGAGCAAAAUUUCCUUGGGCCCUAUAAUCUUCAAUAAGCGAUGGAUGGCCGAUAGAACAUUUCGGCUGGAUGCAUCUAAUAGAGAUGUACAGUUGAGAAGAAAAUCAAGUGAAGAGGAUCUUGUUAAUGAGUAAUGACUUCAUUCUGGUAUUCUGGAGUUAAGAAGGUUCUUAUGAUCAUCAUAUGAAAGCAUGGAGCUGCUAGAGUUUAGCAUCAGAUGUCUACUGGAUUGUGGAGUUACAGCCACAAUGGAUCAGAGGUCCAUUGGUGAGAUGCUGCGCUGGAAACUGGCAUGAAGAAUGGUGUUGGGGGUUAUAGCCACCUGAAGAAGGGAAUUGCUAGAAAAUUGAAGUUCCAGGAACACUUUGAAUCUGCAUAAUGAUAUUCGCGCUGGCGCUGUGGAGUGUCAGCUUGUUUUCUAAGAUACAAUCUGUACUUUGUUUUUUUAUGUAGUUGUUGCUUUGGUCAUUAUCCUUUGCCAAAAAAAAACAAGCACACCACACAUACACACACAAACACACACAAACUUCCAUGAUAUUGUAGAUAGUGAUGAGUGUAGAGCUUUUUAAAAAGGAAAAAAAAAAGACAGACAAUGGAGGUGGAAUUAGUAAAAAAAUUCUUACUUCCAGGACCGAGAUGAUUCAAUGCUCUAACAAACUUUUCAUGGAGUUCACGAGUCCAAAUCAUUCAUUUCUUUCCCGUAGACAAACCAUCUGAAGCCUUGCCUUCAUCUUCACCAUCUAUUUUCCUUUUCAAGGUCAUAGGAUGUCCUGCAUUUCCAGAGACUGUACAGCUAACAAUACAAGAAUUCUCCAAAUGCAAUUUAUCCUCUUCCUUUCUUAUUGGCUGUUCUAAUCGUUCUAAAGUGUUGUUAAUUUUCUUGCGAACCACGUGCUGCCAAAAGACUUUAAGAGCUUCCAUCUUAACAGGCUUGAUCAAACAAUCACAAGCACCCUGAAGAACACCCUUCAAAACAAGUUCUUGUUCAUCAUCUGAUGAUAUGACUAGGUUACAUAACAAUAUAUAAUAAAUGUUAGUUUAAUAUAAAAACGUAUAUAUUCAUGGUGGACAUCAAGUUAAUAAUCAGAUAGAAGACUAAAUGAGAACUUACUGACGACAGGCAAAUCCAUUUCUGAUCGGAUGAUCUUAAGGAGCUGAAUUCCAUCCAUUUCAUGCAUUUGCAGAUCAUUUCCAAGAACGUCAAACCUGUUCUUAUCCUCUCGAAGCAUUGACAAAACCUCCUUUCCUCUUCCACAUUUGGUGACUGAACAUGUUAAAAAGUAGAAUUAUAUAUGUCACAAAAGGAUGUGGGAACCAACCCCAAAUUCGUUCAUGAAUUCGCCAUCAGGAUGUGCGAAAACAGUACUUGAAUUGAUUGGUUAAGACUUGUGGAAUAAGCUCUAAUUAAAAUGAACAUGGCCAUUAAAUAAUUUGAGAACGAAUUUGAUAUAUAUCUAUGCUUCAUCACCUGUGAAGGGGUGAAAUGAAUGAUGUUUAAAGAGAGACGAAUCUGGCGCAUUUGAUCAAGCCAAUCACAAUGUCUUGAUUUACUGCAUGAACUUAGAAUUUGCUGUAUCUACCGAUUUAAAUUAUUUUGGUUUAGCAAGGAUUUUGGAAAGUGGAGCCCGCUCUAAACAAGAUCCGAAGAUCGUUCAAAUCCAGUUCCAAUAUGGAUAUAAAAGUGAAAAAGUGAUCUCUGCGCGGUGUUUGUCUGUGUGGCUGUAUUGUAUUUUUUUAAUUUUAAAAUAUUUUUUUAGUAUUUUUAAAUUAUUUUGAUAUGUUAAUGUAAAAAAAUUUUUAUUUAUUUUUAAAUAAAAAAUAUUUUAGAAAACAUAUAAUCUCAUUUAUAAUUUUAAAUAUGCUUAGUACGGUCUUCUUUUCUCAUUUGAGUUAGGUUCUUAAGAUAAAUCAGAUUUUCUGAAUAAUCUUUAUUCAACUUAUUAAAUAAAGUCGGUAAGUUUGAGAUUGAAAAUGGAAUUAAAUUUUUAUUAUUAUUGUAUUCAAAUAAUAACUAGACAAGACUUAUAGUAGUAAUAGUAGUUGAGGAGAGUUGUUAACAAGCAGCAGUUACUUGUGCUUUUUGUUUGGGUUAAUUACAAAAGAUACCCUCUAGUUUACUUAAUUUUUUCACCUAUCUCCAUCAUUCUAGAAAUUACAUUUUAUUUUUUAAAAAUUUAUAACAAUUUAUAUCCUUAUGCCAUGCUAGCAAACUAAAAAAUAAAUAAAUAAUAUUAUAUUAUUUAUUAAAUUGUUAUUAUAUUUCAUUUAAUGAUUAAAAAGUUUUUAUAUUAAAUAUUAUGAAUUAUCCAUAAAAAAAAAAAACAUGGAUGCCAUCCUCACCCUUUUCUCCUUCAUUCAACCUAGAAACUUACAAUCAACACCUCCAAUAAUAUACUAAAACCCAACUGAUAUUGUACCAUCAUCAACAAAUUCAUUAUUGGUUCUCCUCGGAGAACAAGUGCAAGUAACAUAUUUCUUCCCACUCGUGCUUUGAGUUCGGGCUUUCAAGAAAAGAAAAUCUGGAACUCUAUGUCCUCGACAAAUGCUAUCAUAAACUAAACAAGAGGAGCCUAAUAAUAGCAAAUAAAAGCAACCCAGAAAAGGAUUCCAAGGUUUGGAUCAAGAGCUGGUCGUGUGGCGCUGAGCCUUUAAGCUUUGUUGCUAUUUCAAAUUUUCAAUGCCGUCACCAAACACUGACCUAAUUUGUGUAAAACAUCAUUAAAGCUCCAGAAGUUAGAGCUUUCACAGGAUAAAGCAUGCAUACUAGAAAGAACCAGAUGAUCCCAUUUAAUCAAGCAUAAAAAACAACUAUUCAACAAUGGUGGAGGGGGAAGAGAGAAGGAAGUCACUGAACACAAAGUUGACUCCUUGUGUAUUGAAAUCCGUAGGCGUUCUAGCUUGAUGAGCGCUAUCCUUCUUGAAAAAUCCCUCCCUUCUUAUUUGCCAUAAUCAACAGAGAGUACAAGACUUCUUUCAUCCCACUACGUACCCUAUUAUCCAUGUCUUAGAUGGCUGGAAGACAGAGGCAAUAUCAUGAUAGGAACAACAGAUUCAGUAGCGAUCACAUCACAAUAGGAUGGAAAUGGAUAGUAAAUUGAGUCCUGACUCUAUAUUCUUAGACCAUUAUACCUUCUCGUUGGAUGUGAAAGAGAAGGCUUGGAAGCAGAGCAUCAUUGAAGGUAAAAAACUAUAUAUUCUUAGAUUAUUAUUCCUUCUCGUUGGAUGUGAAAGAGGAGGCUUGGAAGCAGAGCAUCAUUGAAGGUAAAAAACUAUAUAUUCUCCCAUCCGAUCCAAUCUAGAGGCUGAGUUCAUCACAUCAAAAUCAGGUAUUGGGAGCUUCACGCUACAAGUUUCCGCUAUAGUAUUUUUUUUAUUUUGUUUUUUUAUAUUUACAUGGUUGUUCGAGCCAGCUUGUGCGUACAUCGACUAAUUCUACGGGCUCUGAAAUUAACGAUUAUGUAAAUCUCCAGUGGUCAUUAUAUUAGCAACCACAUGGCUCAAACUUAAAACCACAUAGAAAACAAAUCUCUUAGUCCUAAAUUUUUAUUACUGGUCAUCUACUAUAUGGUUGCUAUAAUCUUUAUUUAUUUAGCUGGCUGGAGUGUGGAAUAAAGUAUAUAUUCUUCUUACAAACUUUUUAUACAUAUAAACAGUAAUGUAUACAUAACAAAACUUAGAAAGUAUAAGUAAAAUAAACAAAAAGCAUAAUUGUAUCGGUAAUAUAGCAUAAACUAUUAUGAAAAAUAAUUAAAUGAUUCCUUAAUUGAAAAAUAGAUGAAUAUAGUAAGAUAUAUGAUCAAUAUAGUAAGAUAUAUUCAUCAAAUUAUCCAAAUUAUAUAAAAAUAAUUUUAAAAGAUAAAAUAUAUCUUUAAACUAUCUUGAAUCUUAAAAAUGCUAAAAUCUUAUUUUACAAUUAAUUUAUAUUAUUAUUUUCAUUAUUAAUUUUCUUUCUCACAAGAUAAACUAGUCAAAGUACAAUAUAUAUAUAAAUCUAAAAUCAAAGUUUAUAAAUAUAUAUAUUAAACUAAUGAGUAAAUAUAUUUAAUUUAUCAUUACAAAAACAUGCUGAUCCAACAAAAAUCUAAAGUUUAUACAUAUUUAAAAUUAUAAACAUAUAAAAUCAUAUAAAGUCAAUAUAUUCCUAAAUAGACUCCCAUGCAUAAUUUUUCUUUAACUUGUCACGGAAUUUCUCAAUAAAUCCGUAAUCUCUCGAGUAAGAACUUCAAUCAUUCGAUUGGCAUCAACGCUCUCGCGUGCGCCUUAACUAACUCACCCAUUUUGGUUCGAAUUCUUUGAAAUUUUACAGAUACUUCCUCAUAGUCAUCCACCCAGAACGGCAUCGCUACUGCACUGAAAUUCAAAAUUUUUAUAGAAAUCGAUCAAAUUGAAUUGAUUAGAAAGAGAAGAGAUAGUUACCUGGAAGUGGAAGGAACUGGAAAGAGGAGUCUUUUUGGGUGACGACGGAGGAGCUUUGAAUUGCUUUCUCAACCAAUCAAAGCUAGCUUUGGGUGGGCUUUGCUCGUUUUUCUGGAUCACGACUGUCCCAGUUAAGACUGUCCCAGUUAGAUCUCAAUCGAUGAAUCAUCUGAUUAACUCACCAUGUUAAACCAUGUUAUGCAGAGUCAUAAAAAUAUAUUGUGAAGUUGAUUAUAAUUAAAUCAUAAACAAAUCUCAAAGUAAUCCUUUAAAUAUAAAAUAAUUAUCGUUUUUUUUUUCAAUUGUAUCUCAACAUGUCAAAAAUCCUCAAUCAAACUAUCCUUUAAUGUCCAACAAAUCUAUCACAUGUGGGGUUAAUUUACUAGUAUGUCAUGUAGUUGAGGAAUGGUUUGAGAUUUGUUUUAAAAUCAAUUUGGGGAUGAAACCAGCAGAUUUUUAACCAAUUCAAUUAAUUAUUCUUAACAAACUUGAUGAAGGGAUAUGAUUUAGAAUUUCUAAAUACGUUUUGAGAUGUUCCAAAAAAAAAAAUAUAGAAUAAAAUCCAAUACUAAUGUCCCCAUCCAUAGUUUUUAGACCGGUUCAAGAUUUGGAUUUCGAGUUUUGAUCGGGUCACCAGGUUAUCCGGGUCAAAAAAAAUUUAAAAUAAAAAAUCAACAGGUUGCAAGCAGAUUUUUAACCAGAUCUUGCCGAGUCACACAAUUUCCCUUUUCUUAUUUUUUUUAAUCUGAUCAGAUUUCAAUCUUGAAUUAAUCAGGUUUCAGAUCGACUUGCCAGACUAGAACGAGUUUUAAUACUAUAUCCCAAUCCAUUUCUUCUGAAUAGACUAGGGUAUGCAUGGUUACCCCUCUCAAAUCAAUCAAGCUCAACAAAUCAGAAGGGUCUGAACUCUAAAUUGUAAUUGAUGAGGUAUUUUACUAAUUCAAAAGAUAAUAUUUUUAGAUUGUGUUUUUUUUGUAUUAAAAAAAAAAUAUUUUUUUAAAAAAUCUACUUUAAUUUUUUUUAUAUAAUUUUACAUCAUUUUAAUAUAUUAAUAUCAAAAAAUAAAUAAAUAUUAAUUUAAUAUAUUUUCAAAUAAAAAAACAUUUAAAAAUCAAACAUAAUCACUGUAAAAAAAAUAAAAGGCAAAGGCAAUAAUAAAAAAAAAAACCAAAGAAGACCAGACAACCUAGGUCGGUUAGCACAGGCCCACAAGACAGAACUUAAUUAACAAGUAAAUUUUUCGAAACAUAGCAUCAAACCUUUUAGGGACUAGAAAGUCAUAUAAUAUACCAGCGUAGAAGAAGUCCACUGUCUUGUCGGUCUAAACGACCUCAACAAGAUAAAUACGUGGUUGAGGGCUGAGCGUAGUUUUUUGUGAUAAUAAACGGAAGGCCGAGGGCAAUUUGAUAAAUCGGAAUUCGUGUCCUUAAGAAUCUAUUUAUUAAUCAACAUCACCUCCGUCUUUUCUCUGAAACUUUCACUUGCCUUCUUCGUCUUCUUCUUCUUCUUUGGCUGCUGCUCCUUGCUCCUGCUCUACUGCUCUACUGCUACUCUUUUUUUCCACAGAUAGAAAAUCAAGAAAUCUGCCAUAAAAAGAAAGACAGAAAGUUAAUUGAUUUUUAUUCAACUGAUUAUUAAAUUAAAAUGGAAGAUGAUACAUGGAGCUUUGGUCUCUCCACUUCUUCUUCAAGAAGCUAUCAAUCUGCUCUCAAGUCUCUUUCUGGUAUGUUUAAGAUUCAUUUUUUCUUCUGUCAUUUUUAUAUCUGUUUGGUUUUUUCCUGUUGUUGUCUUCUUCUUUUUUUCUCUUUUAGGGUUUUUUUUUUACUUUUGUUAAUUAUAAAAGGUGGGUUGUUGUUGAAACAGAUCUUUGUAUUGAUUUUGAAGAUAUAGAAGAAGAAGAUGAUGAUUUAAGGACGGAGUAUCCGUGUCCUUAUUGUACAGAUGAUUUUGAUUUAGUUGAAUUGUGCUUCCAUAUCGAUGAAGAACAUUAUUUAGAAGCCAAGUCAGGGGUAUUUUACUUUACAUUUCUACUCUUUAAAAAUAUCACGUUCCUUUUAUUUAUUGUGUAGCUGCCUUAUAUUGACUGCUUGCGCUGGGUAACCAUUUAAUGCUUUUCGUUGCUCUAUAUUGACUGCUGAGUAGAACCUAUUGAAUCAAGAGGGAUCGGUUUACGGUUUCAUUAAUUGGCCAUCUUUCUCUUUUUAACAGUAGCUACGGGUGAAAAAGUUUGGUUUAUAUCUAUUCAAUGCCUUUCGUACUUAGCUUUUAAGCGUUUGUAAUCUGGGCCAUGUGCUUUUUAUUAAAGAGUUGUUGAACUAGUUUGAUAUUGAAUCCUAUUUCUACUUUUGUUUUUGUGGAUAAAAACGGAAAGGGUUAUUGUAAAGAAUCAUAAUACAUUCUUCUUCUUGGAAGUCUUUCCGUCUUAUAUACCAUAAGCUCAUGAACUGUAAGUGUUGACAUUAAUCUUCCUUGAAAAUUGCAUUUUUAUUCAACAGGGUCUCAAGCUUCUUACUAAUGCAUGAUUUGUUAUUCAAGUUUCUGCACAUGAACAUUCUCAUUUGGAUUAGGUUAUCUCCUUUCACUUCAUUUCUAUUGCACUGAUAUAAUGGAUCGUGUUUCUUUGAAUUACGAAUUUAUCUUGAUUCUGUUGAGGUAAUACCCGAAAUGAGAAAUUACAUCUGGAUGAAUCUGUUGAACUGAUAUCAAUUUGUUUUGUAAAGAGAAAGGAGGGGAGUAAGUGAUCUGUUAUGCAUGUAUGAGGUUCAUUUAAUACGUACUACCAUCAGUAAAAUGAGGAUCUUUUCGCAUUGGCCUAGUCAAGCUUGAUAUACAAGUCUUGAAGUACAAUUUGCUCAUAAUCACCAAUAUGUGUUUGCAGGUAUGCCCUGUUUGUUUCACCAAGGUGGGAAUGGAUAUGGUUGAUCACAUAACAACAGAACAUCGAACCAUUCACAAGAUAUCCUUUUUGUUUGAUUAUUGGAAAUUAUUCAUCUUUUCACCUCAUUUACUUGAUAUCUACUUUCCAUCUUGCUUACUGCAUCUUGUUCUUUUACAGUCAGUUGAAUUGCUCUUAGUUCUUUUAUUUAGACUUGAGGCCAUGUCUACAUCCUUGAUUAUAAAUUACAGUUUGCAAAAAUUGAAACUUGGGAGAGUAGAAUCACACUCAAAUUAUUCUUUUCUGAAGAAGGACUUAGAGGAUGGGUAUUUGCAAUCAUUACUUAGCGGAUCAUCCUCGGUGGUUUCUUCCUCCAACUUGGCACCUGAUCCCUUAUUGUCAUUUAUUUGCAAUGUAUCCCCUGCUGAGAAGUAUGAUAGUGUACAGCCUAGUUGUUCAAGUAAAGCAACCAUAGAAGAGAAAAGUUCAGAUGAGAAACUGUUGGAAAGGUUAGUUGUUUGGUUAUGCUUUAUGACAUCAGUCACAUGUGUGCUAAUGUUUUUUCCUAUUAUUAUUUUGUCUUUGGAAAAAAAAUCGAAGUACUUGUUAUUUGGUAAGGUAAAAAAAAUGUAUGGCAGUUCACAGAUGGUUGAAAGAAUAUACACAAGGUUAGCUUAAAUAGUGAAGUCAAAGUGUGGAAAGAGAGAAUUUGAAAAUGGUGAAAAAAAUGUGUCCCGCUCCCUGUUUGGGGCCGUGAUGUUAGGAUCUGCAAAGCUUUUCUUAAGUUUUUAGCUGAAUUAAUUUUGAUGUGAUAUGAAUAGGUUGUUUGGAACCAAAUUCAAUUAUAGUGUUUGACUUAAAUUCAAUUGAUAAAUAAGUUGAAUUUAUAUUUUCGGAAAAGAUAAAAUUUAAUUCAUUUUGUUUCCUAUAUUACCCUUAUUAUCUUCAUCUUUGGUAUUUUGGAAAAGUUAGAUUUAAUAUUAAAUUUUUUCUUUUCGGAAUUAUAAAUCAUAGGGGUUGACCUCUAAUUUACUUUUUUAGUAUUUUUAGAGAUUGAGUUCCAUUUGGAAUUUAAUUCUUAACACUUAAAAGGAUUCUAAACAUGAGAUUUCAUUAAAAAUUUUGAAUUUAAUUCAAUUCAAUUAAGAGGGUUUCAAUCAUGUUGGAAAGGGUGAUAUAAGUGAUUGGUGGGUCACAGCAUUUCCAAUGUUACAAGUGCAAAUUACUGCUAAUUUGUUAGUGAACAAUGAUGAGAAGAAGAGUUGGAUGCAUAUGACAUUUUAAAAAUGAUGGGAGAGCCAUAUGAUAGGGUCGCACCACCAUCAUUAUAGCAUGCGCAUGGAUUUUCUGUGAGUGGAAAGAAUAAAACUGAACUCUUGUGAGGUUGUAAUCAAACAUUCCAAAAUAGGAAGGGGGGAACAUUAUCCAAGUGGUCAUCAUGAUGAACAAGAAAGCCCUACGCCUGAUUCCAAGUUCAAUGCAAUCUUGAAGUUCCUGUUGCUUGAUUUAUUGUCUUAUGCUGUAUGAUAUUUUGCAGUUUUUCAUACUUUCUUGUAAGAUAGAAUAGGAUGAGGAUCAUGAUUCAGCAAAGGUCGUCCAUAUCAAUACUGCUACUAUAUCGUUUUCUUGCAAUACCAACUCUGUUAGUAUUUUUAUGAUUGCAGGAAUGAUCACAUAUCACCUUUGUCGGAUGAGGAGCACAUGGAGAAGGCAAAGAGAAGUGAGUUCGUACAGGGACUGUUAUUGUCCACCAUAUUCGAUGAUGGCCUAUGAUGAAACAUGGUAUAAGCGUUGUUGAUGUCAACUUGAGAUUAUAACAAAACAAGUCUAUUUUCAAUGCUGUCUAUGUUGAAUAUACCUUGACCAAGAGAGCUAGAUUAGAUGCAGCACUGAAUUGUAUCCCACAAUUGUAUGGAAUCCGUAAGGCCAGAUCGGAGCCAGAAUUUUAUGUACUUUAAUUUUCAAAGCUCCUUGUGCUUAAUUGAAAUUUAGGUUAUUCUUCUAGCAACGUUUCAAAUUCAAAUAUUGUGCACUUUAGCCUGCAUGGGAAUUUAUUUAUUUAUUUUUAUUUUAAAUUAAUAUUUUUUUAGAACUUUUAAAUAAUUUUGAUGCACUUAUAUUAAAUGAGAAUAAAGCUGGUAAAAGCUCAGAGACGGCCUGAUGGAGCACCCAAGCGAUUACUCCAUUUCAGCAAACACCCAUUUAGUUAGAAAAUAACUCAUUCCCCUCGAACGAAGAAUGGAUGAAGAAAAAAAUAAAACACUUCUGCUUUAGAAUGGAGAGGUUCAAAAUACUGAGAAACUGAAGCGAGUACUUGUUUUGCUGCAUUCACCGAGUCUGCUGGCUGAGGGGUCUUUGCUCCUCCUCCUGUAAACUGCGGCCAAAAGACCUUCCAAUUUCAAACUUAUACGAUGCUUUUAGGUUCAUCCUCCCCCCACACAGAAAAUGAGUAAUUGCCAUACCUUCCUCAUCACCACGAGACUUUUUGUGGGGAGCAGAAUUUGAUUACUUUUUAUAAUUGACGUUUGUUCUUCAGUUUAGGCACACCAGGUCUUAAAGCUGUAUGAGCAGACUCCAAGAUAUCACCCCCUUUAUCUUCACUGGAAUUUGAUGCAGCGGGAGCCGAGAGCUCUGUGGCAUUCCACAAGAGUUGGCAGUCUUGAAAUCAUUUUACAGCUCUGCAUAUUGAGCAGAGAAGCAGUGUCUUUCAUCACUCUCUUGAUCACUGCAUACUGUACAAAAAUCUUUUAAUAAUAUGGGACAGGCCGGGUCAUGAAAUGCCGUGUAUCAUAGUCUUUUUAUGAUAUUCUCCCUUCAACGACUCUUCAUUUUAACUGGCUAUUUGACCAAAAAAAUUGAAUAUUCAGGUUUAUUUGACCGCGUUUUGUUAAGAGAAGAAUAAAAAAAAGAUUAGUAAAAAAAUAAAUAUGUAAGUUCUUCAAAGUACUUUUUGGUAUAAAAUUUUUUUAAUUAUAAAUUAAAUGUUUAUACAUAUAUUUAAUUAAAUAAAUUAAUAAUUAAAAUAUUUAAUUUUACAUGUAUUUUUUGAUUUAAUAAGUAGUUUAUAAAAUUUAUGAGUAUUAUGAUGUUUUUUUAAAAUUAUAAUAAUACUAUGUAAAGAAAUAAAAUAUAUAAAAAAAUUAAUUCCCGAAAAAAUAAAAAAUAAAACAGAUAUUAACCAGCAGCCAAAAACUUUUUCUCCUUUUCUUAUUUUUUAUUAUUUUUGAUGAGGUCAGUGCAAAACUAUAUAUAAUGACGAGUAUGAAAAUUAUAACCUAGUUUAAAUAAAAAAAAUAAAAACAGUCAGAGAAAGUGGGACCCAGGUGCGGCGAAACGUCCGGCUGAGAGAUGAUAGGCCAAUCAAAUAGAGCUUAGACCACAGAAACAGAUUUCUUUAUUAGUCCAUAAAAUAAAAAUCACAGACACACACACAGUGAAUUGAAUCUCUCGCUAUCUCUUCCUACAAUACAAGGGAGAUGUUCUUCCCUCCACCCUAUCGACACCUACCCUCUACUUCGAUUUCUUGGCUCCUUUAAAGAGGAGAGAGCUGAAGCGAGUUUUUGUCAAAAUUAUUAAGCAAAACUCUAACAGAGCCGGACGGAUUCAAGAAGCAAACAAAACAGAGGAUCAUCUUCUGGCCAUGCGACUCUGCCUGUCUGCAAACUCCCUCUCGAGAGAGGGUUCUUUGUUUUCUUUCUGUUUCUCAAGUCUCUGCUUUUUUCUUCUUUUUACAAGAAAUGCCCACCACCGAUUCUCAUGCUCAUGCCCCUACUAAUCCCAAGCAAUGUCUUCUCUGCAACGCCGGCGCUGGUGCUGCUGCAGGUACUAUCCCUUUUUUCUUUAUUUUUUUUCUCCAGCUUAGAUCAAUUACUUGAAACAUUGAUGCUCUUCUUUUUAUUAUUAUUCUUUAAUUUGGGUGCAGGAGUUAUUGCUGCUACAUUUGUGUGUCCUUUAGAUGUUAUCAAGACCAGGUUCCAGGUCCAUGGUCUGCCUAAGUACGAUGUUGCUACUAGUAGUAUUAAAGGUUAGAUUUUUUUUUUUAAGAAAAAAAAAUUAUCUUCUUUGCAGGUUCCGUGUAAUUUGCUUAUGAAUUACAGGGUGUUUUUAAUUUUGGUCAGGGAGUCUUAUAGUUGGUAGUUUGGAACAAAUAUUUCGGAGGGAGGGGCUGCGCGGCAUGUACCGGGGGCUUGCUCCAACUGUGCUAGCAAUGCUUCCUAAUUGGGCUGUAAGUUGUAGUAUUACGUGCUCAAUUUAGUUGCCUGCUCAUUUCUUAUAAACAUAAAUUUCAAGAAUAGUGAUUUUGUUUCUGACUUUUGCUUUGUACAUUACAACAUUUAUUUAUCGGUGUAAAACUAAAGCACUUGACUUGAAUUUACAUUUUAGUUUGUGCGGAGUGUGUGAUAAUGUUUGCAAGUGUAGUUCAGAGCUUGCUUAUGAGAAUCUGGGGGCAAAAAACACCUAUAAACUCUGUUAUUAUGCAAUUAACUUUGUUUGCCUUCUUGUAAGAUGCUUGAAUUGUAGAAACAUAUUGAGCGAAAUGAUGAAAGAAGAAAAUAAUCCACUCACAAGAUUGAAUAAACAAUGAUUAACUUGUCGUUCUCCUCAAUCCAUAAAUCAUUUGGUGAAUUCAGUGCUAUAGCACAAGCUAUUUUUAGUGCCACCAUGUGUUGGAUCUUUGAGGCCCUUCAUUGACUUGGUUCUCUAUCCUCAGAAUAAGUAAUCACUAGUGAGAACUGAGGCCGCAGGUUGAGUUUUUAAUAUAAUGAAAUGCACUCGGUCAAAUUUAUAAUCUUUGAUUCUCAUUUCUCAUUUCCCCCAGCUUUUGAAGACUUCCUUUUUUUGCAGAGCAUGCUUCUUUGAAUUUCUUCUGCUGAAUGACCUAAUUUUAUAAUUUUUGCAGGUUUAUUUUACGAUAUAUGAACAGUUCAAAAGCUUUCUUUGUUCCAAUGGUUAGUGCUGAUUUGCUACCUUUACGGGUGGUAAAGCAAAACUUGAUUGUUGCUUUCUUUUUUCCCUGUGGCAUAGUUUUUUGUUAAGUUACCUUUUUUUUAGUGUUAAUGAGCUCGUGAUUGUGUUGUUUGUGUAGAUGAAAGUCAUCACCUUUCAAUAGGUGCUAACAUGAUAGCUGCUUCUGGUGCUGGAGCGGCAACAACUAUUUUCACAAAUCCUCUUUGGGUUGUAAAGACAAGACUUCAAGUGCGUUUGUUUAGUUCACGUCUUAUUUUUUCUGUAAUUGUAAAAAAGAUACUAAUUAACCUAGCACUCACCAAUUGAAGCAUCUAAAGAAUAUUUAGACCAGGUUUCCUUUUUUUACACCUUGUAUCAUUAGCAUGAUGCAUAUAGCUCAUUUGAGUCAAGCUUUUUGUUUGUUUCCAUGAUGAACAUGCCAUGCCCACAGCCAUGAUGCACAUUCGAGGAUGGGCCAAGUGUGAGCUCACAUGAUGGAGAGGGGAGGACCUCCUCUCGAGUUCACAUUUGUUAUUAUUUUCCGAGAGUAAGAUAUCCUACUUGUCCAGUCAACAACAAUGCAUUUGCCUGUGUGAAACCAGGUAGUAUUAGCUAGAUUGAUGUGCUUAGGAGUUCCCUUUCUUCUUCUUGUUAAUUUAGUUGCUUGUGAUUAUUAUUAUAUUUUUGAUUUAUUUUAUAUGAUAUGUUUAUGCAAUGUGUACUUAAGUCAUGACCUUGAAAUUUGUGCAUUGUACAAGGUAAUGAUAAUUAAAUCUUCUAUACAUGUAAAUGACUUGUUCUGGCGUGGAAAGUGGAAAGAUAGGAGAAGAAAUAAAUUGAACAUAGAAUCCUUUAGUAGGCCACUAGCUGGGAAGAUGAGUGGAUGCAUGCGUAUUUCAAGGAGCUGAGGAGGUCAGCAUUCACAGUAUUGUUUGCUUUUGCUCUGCAGACUCAAGGAAUGAGAGCAGGUAUCGUUCCAUAUAGGAGUACACUGUCUGCUUUGAGAAGAAUAGCUCAUGAGGAAGGCAUGCGUGGGUUGUACAGGUAUUGAAUUCUACAAAGAAUAUCAUUGGAUUGUGUUAGAUAUUUAUGUCUUUAGUUUGAAGGUGAGAUUUAAUAUCUUGUGUGGCAAUCAGUGGUCUUGUGCCUGCAUUGGCUGGUGUUAGUCAUGUUGCCAUCCAAUUUCCAACAUAUGAGAAGAUCAAAAUGUACUUGGCCACCCGAGGUAAUUUAUAACCAGUUUUACUCUCUUUGUAAUUUGAAAGAGGAAAGAAUUUUUUUUCUAGUUAAUUUCUUGUUCCAGGUAAUACCACAAUGGAUAAACUAGGUGCACGUGAUGUUGCUGUUGCCUCAUCAGUCUCCAAAAUAUUUGCUUCGACAUUGACAUAUCCACAUGAGGUAUGUUCUUGAAAAAAUAAUCUGAUGUCAUUAGUUAAUAUAUCCGUGUUCACUAAUCAGCAUGAAAAGUAUAAAGGUCCUUGAUGCUCAACUGCUCCCCACCUUCUCUAAGGUUCAGGGAGCUCUAUAAUAUUUCGAUGGUCUUCUUUUGGGGUUGUAUGUGUUUUUAAAGUGCAAAAAUUUGGAUAAUAAUGAAACACUUCUUGCUUGUAAUUGGAAGUUCCAUGUCAUUUUUUAGCAAUCAGAAUCAAAUUUUAAAUGUAUUUUCGAAGCUGCCUGUGAUUGUAGAAUUGUUAUUGAGAUUGUUUUGUUUAUAGGCAUGUUAUAAAAUUCAAACUUAUUAUGUAAUGAAGAGUGCAGUCACUUUUAUCUUUAAAAUAAAAAUCUUAUGAUGCUGUUUCUUACCCUCGGAAGCUUUUGCGGGUAGUAAGAAUCACUUAGCAUUCAAGUUUCAGUUUUAUGAGCUUGUGACAUAGUUUAAAAAGAUACCUGAAAUAGGUAAAUAUGAGAAUUGUGCUCACUGACAAAAAAAAAAUACCCUGAAUGCCAAUGCUUAAGGACUUCCCUUGGAAAUCCUGUGAAGUGAUGGGAUACAGCUUUAAAAAAUUCCCUUAUUUCAUUUCGCCACCAAAAAAGAAUUGCUGAGAAAAAGCUAUCCCAAAUAACUCUAUUGCCCAUAUAGAAAUCACAUCCUCUCCAGGCCAUUAACUUUGUACCAACUUUCUUGGAUCUCUAUAAACCCACAGCUCCACGCACCAACUCCUGUAAGCUUCUUGCUUGCUUACUUUCUAUGUGACACUAAAUGCUUGACUAGGAUUAGUAGCUAGUUGUCUUGGUUGACAGGAAACUCUUACAGAUUAAUUUAUUCUCUCAUGAUUUUGUAGGUAGUACGCUCAAGGCUUCAAGAACAAGGCUUCCACUCAGAAAAGCGUUACUCUGGUGUGGUUGAUUGCAUAAAUAAAGUAUUUCAACAAGAGGGUCUCCCUGGAUUUUACCGUGGUUGUGCCACCAACCUUAUUAGAACAACCCCCGCUGCUGUUAUUACAUUCACUAGCUUUGAGAUGAUUCACAGGUUUCUUGUCACCCUUUUCCUUCCUGAUCCACAGCCUCACACAUUGUGAAGAUGGAUCUUAUUUGAGAAUAUUGCAUGGAUAGAUAUGGCUCGCAUUGCCUUGAACUGCAACAUGGAAGAGCAGACGAGGUCAGUCAGUGUCAUGAUGUCUUUGUGAUAAUCCUUUCUCUAGAUUAUAUUUAUGUAUUCUUCAUUGUCUCAGGUAGUUCUUAGAAAAACUGGAUGCAUUGAUGCCCACAUCCCUCAUUGAAAUUCUGCAACAAGAAGUUGUCAGAUGGGGAGUGAAUAUCAAUUUACACUGACAGUGAUAGUGAUGAUAAAAACGAGAUGCUGUGUGAAAUUUUCAUAUCAGAACAUUCUUUUAUGAAUAAUAAUCAGAAAUCAUUUAACAUCGUCUACUAAAGAUUUCACACGCUGCAUCCCCUUAGUUAUAACCUGUGACCAAAAAACAUGCUGCAUAAAGAUUGUUCAUUGUGUGUGCAUGAUGGCAACAAACCUUGAAACAACUUCCUGCAUCAUGCUGAAAUAUCGAUAACAGUGAUUGGUAUUGUGAACUCGUUGUCUUUAUUGAGGAGCCCUAGGACUUUGCAAUGGCAUGCCAAUCUAUUCAGUGAUUACCAGGCAAUCGAAUGGGUGCGUGCCAGAUGAAAAUUGGCCAUAAUUAAUGCCACUCGAGGGCUGUGAACAAUAGCGAUCCUGGAUCAAGUCUUGUUUCUGAUAAAAAUAUUUAUUUCGGUAUUCAAUAGCUUUGUACAUUAACUGCGAGAAACCCAGUUAGCUCUUACAUCUUAUGGUGUGUAGCAUGGAUUGAAAUUCAAUUAUUGUAUUUGAUUUGAAUUUAAUUGAUAAAUAAAUUGAAUUUAUAUAUUUGAAAGAGAAAAAAUUCAAUUCAUUAGAUUUCUUGUAUUAACCUCAUUACCUUCAUUUUAUUUUUUUAAAAAGAAGUUACAAGGAUAUUUCAAAAAAGUUAGUCUUAAUAUUAAAUUAUUUUUUUUUGAAUUGUAAAUUAGAAGGGUUUGACCUAUUUAAUUUUAUAUUAUUUUUAAAGAUUAAAUUCUUAACAAGGGCUCUACAGAUUUAAUAUUAAAAUCUCUUAAUUUCUUAAAGGAUUCUAAACAUAUUAAUAAAAUAAAACAGAAAGUCCUAAGUAAUGGGCCUGUGUGUUGUUGUAAGCCGAAAGUCCUAAGUAAUGGGCCUGUGUGUUGUUGAAAGCCCUCUCACAAAUCAUGUUUUUGUAUUUUAUUAAUUUCAAUUAAAUUUUCAAAGAAUUAAAAUUAAAAUUCACAAAUCAUGGUUUUGUAUUCUAUUAAUUUCAAUUAAAUUUUCAAAGAAUUAAAAUUAAAAUUCACAAAUCUUCGAUUUUCCCACAUUUUUCAAUAAUUAAAAAAAAAAAGUACCUCAAACUUAUCCUAACAACCUCCAUAAAAACCGUUUCUAACUUCAAAAUUCUAUUACAAACCAGAGGUCUUAAAUUGAAUGUAAAGUCUUGAAAUGAAUACAUAUUUCGGCUUCCAUCUCCACUUUUCGGCCAUGAAUAAGUAUUUCGUACGUACCAAUCUAUUCAACUCACUCGUACGACCUCUUUGACAUUUUUUUACUCUGAUAAUUUUCAAAAGAACCACUGUUGUUAUCUUCUCUCUUUCCUUGCUUCUCCUCAAUUUUUUCCUCUCCCCCUCAGCUCGAGAGAUAUAGCUCAACUGGUUAGGUUUUAGGUUUAUUUUCUAGAGAUCGCUAAUUCGAGUCUCACAAAUCUCACGGCCACUAUAGACUUACAUGGUCGUUAACUUCAAAACUCGUAGGAUUAGUCGAGGUACGCACUAAUUGACCUGGAUACCCACAUUAAUAAAAAAAAAUUAACAAAAUAAAUGUUAGGAAAUGAUCCUUACAAACAUCAAAUUAACAAGUGGGAAGAUACUAUAGACACAGAUUUAUAGACACUGUUCACUAGAACAUUGAUGAUGAUUUUGCCCUUCUCACUAAAUACUUUGUUUGAGAUUGUGGUAGCGGUUCCGGUUCAAAAUACUUUUCGUUUAAAAAUAUAUUAAAAUAAUUUUUUUAUUUUUUAAAAAUCAUUUUUGAUAUCAGCAUAUCAAAACGAUUUGAAAACAUAAAAAUUUAAAAAAAAUAGCAAAAAAAAAUCAAAAUUUAAGAGAACACGAUUUGCACCACGUUCCCAAACAAGCCCUAAAAAUCCUUGUAUUGGCUAUUGGAACCAUUCAGAUUUUUUCAAAAAGUUCAAUGGUUACUACCAAAAUAAAUCAGGACAAGUAAUCUUUCUUCAUUUUAAAUGCACAGUGAAACAAUUAAAAUAUCAUUGGAAAAAAAAAUUUAAUUGACAUUAAGGGUCAAUUUUGUAUUUUCACAAUGUUUUUUUUUUCGAUUAUCACUUCAGCUAAGGAAAAAUUUGGUAUUUGACCAAAUAUUAAAAAAAACAAAAACAAAAAGCACAAUGAAAUAGUAAAAUGUCUGAAAAAAAAAAAUUAAAAUUGUUGUUAAGGGGAUUUGUUUUGUCUUUUCACAAUAGCUUUUUCAUUAUUAUCGUAUCAACUUAAGAGUAAUUUGAUAUUUAACCAAAUAUAAAGAAUAGAAAAGAUUGGAGAGCGCAUGUGGCACACUCUUUGAUGCGUGGGAGGUGCCUGAGCCAUUCAGGCGACGCUUGUAAUGCCUCUCGGCAUCAAACAUUGCCCUUUUACUAUGUCAUUAGAAACGUUGUCGUAUUCCCUUCUUGGUGGUGUAGCGUGUGUAAGCGUUGGUGGUCCGGUUUGUUAUAGGAUACCUUGAUUUUUCUUUUCAAUUUCACAUUUUCAUAAAAAAAAAAAUUAUUGUAAUUUUGAUCCUUAUUUUUUUAUUGUUUUUUUGGUCUUUCUGUUUAAUUAAUUCCUCUUUCCAACUUCACACUUCAAUUAAACAUAAAAUUUAUUUUGUAUUUCAAUUUUAAUCUUCAUUCUUUUAAUUAUUAUUUUUUUGUUUUGGAUCCUGUCGUGCAAUUAAUGUUCUUUUUCUAAGUUAAUCCUUCAAUAUUUAAUUGGUUAAAAAUUGAACUUUGUGAUUUUUUCAGAUAGAGUGCUUAUGGUCUAAUGCUUCAGGUCCCAGUUUGAAAAACCAACACAUGUUGACAUUAUUUUUUGUUUUUUUACUUAUUUUUUUUUCAGCUUUGUGAUUUUUUUACAUUUUCUUUUCUAUUAGAUUAUGAUGAUCUUAUGGCCUGAAUUGCAGGUUUAGAGGGUUAACCUGAAUUGACUUGCCCUUUAUUCCCUGAGUCACAAGUUUGUCAUACCACCUCAAAAUGACUCUAGCUGGGUUUUUUUUUGUUUUUUUUUAACCAAUUUCAUCAUUAUGUGUUUAAUAGGUUGAGAAUUGAGUUAUAUUAUUUGUAUAUUUUUACAAAAAUAUUUUUCCUCGAGAUAUUGUUAUUGUUUUUUAUUUAUUUAUUCUGGUUAAUUUGUUAUUAUUAUCUAUUUUUUUAUCAUUUAAUUAAAAUAAAAUAAAAUUAACUUAUUUGAUAUAGUUUGGUCUAUAAAUUAACAUAUUUUUUUUCAUUUUUAAAAACACUUGCACUACUUGAACAUUAUUUUUAACCCAUUAAAAAAAAACCAUGCGGCGUAGCGUGUAUACACGACUAGUGUGAAGGACUAAAUCGAAUAUAGAUUUUAAAAAAUCACUUAAAAUGUUUAAUAAAACCAUGACGUUUCAUGCCAAACAAUCCAAAAUGAUUUCGUUUUGACCAUAAUAAACAAUAUAUAAGAAUGUCUAAUCCACUAUGAUACUCGGUCUAGAGCAACAGUACAGGACUUUCUUUUGUUAUUGUUAUGUUGAUUGUUAGUAAAAAAUGUAGGCCUGCCUUUGUAAAUGGGCAAAAUCUUGACUGUGAGGGCUACUAGCAUCCAUAGGCUUAAGUUGUGAAACCCAACACAGAAUUUGGAUAUCUGUGUGAGCUGCAAAAGGAUCCGUUGUUAGCGGGCUUUACACUAAUUAACAGAGACCAAGCUGGGUCUGGGAAUUAGGUUCUUUCUUUGAGCAAUUGCACUCUUGAAUUUUCUUUGAGCAAGCCUUGCAGGCAUGGAUUCUUCCCAGUUUACCAGUCGCAGGGCAUGUACAGCAGGGUAAUAGUGCUGGUUGCUGGAAGAGCCAAAGAAACCUUUAGCUUUGGUAUUGUAUGCUGCCUGAAUCAAGGGAUCUCUGUAUAUUUUCUCAGUACAAAGAAAGAAAGAAGGGGGGGAACAGGAAAGGAUCGCCUAGCUUGGUUGGAAAACUCAAGUGUCUAAUCACUCAAAAGUUUCUAUUCCUGAUACGAUAGCCCGUUUAAAGGUUUAUCUCAAAAGCUUACUUGCAAAUUAAAGCUUCAUUAUUCAGAUUAGGAGGGCAAAUCCUUAUCCCAGCGAGAGAACUGAAUUAUUUGCCCCUUAAAAAAGUUAUACCCCACUGAAAAGCUCGAGGACUUAAAACAAAGAACGUGAUUUGAAAAAUCUUCUCCUCAUUUCUAUUCCUUGGUGCCAGUUAUUAGUGUAAUAAUAAAGGGAAUAGUGCCCACAAUUUGACAACUCAUUAUCUGAAAAAGGGAAUCCUAUGAGCCUCAUCUCCUCAUGGGAACAUUAAGGCAACAGAGUUAGAGCCCGGAGGUCAAGUCGGUUAAUCAAGAAAUCCUUUUUUGACAUUCUACGUGCAAGGGAACUCUCUUGUUUUUCCCAUUUUGUUGGAAAAACAGAGUUUAAGUUAUUGAUCGAAGCAGGAAAGCUGAGCCAUUAAAUGUGAUCAAAAGCUGGUCAAGACACUUUUGACAAAUGAGGCGGCUAAGCUCAAUAAAAGACAUUCCAUGAAGCAGAUCACGUAGAAGAACGGGCAGAAGCCUUAAAUUCACCUUGGAAUUCUAUGUGGGUGGGUGGCCAGUCUUUGAUAUUGCAAACAACUGCCCUCUCAUCACUCAUCAUAGUUUGGUCGGUUCAAAAGUAUAGAGCCCUGAAAAAAAGAAACAGAGAAUAAGGAGUGCAAUGGUUUCAUGAUUCAUUGGGAAUGCUGGUUGGCCCACCCAUAAUUAUAAAACAAGAAAAAAAGGAGGAACAGUCUAUGAUGCUCCUCCUGUGCUCUUCCUUUCUCAAUACCUUCCACUUUCGUUGUAUUUGAUUAAGGCUAACCCCAAAAGCUUAAACAAGAAGCGCUCUGUUGCAGACUCCUUAACAAACUGCCAUUUCUUGGGUGUAAAGGCUUGUUUUAUAUAUGUAUAUCCUUAAUCUUAUUACAUGACAUUCGCUCAGUAGUUUUUAACUGUGUUUUGUUGUUAGAUUUCGCUGGUGCUUGCUUUCCAGAUGGACCUGCGAUGAAUAUUUUCAUUUUUUGACCUUCUGGCCAGCAAAGAAUAAUAAUUGUAAUGAUUGCUAGGUGCCUUUAACUUUGCCAUGACAUGGCUACUGUUAGUUCUUUUUACUAUGCUCAUUCCCUCCAUGGAAAGCCUGAAGUUACCCUUGAAAAGCCACUGUUUCUGUUUAGUGCACACAGGUGGGAGUUAUUUAGCCUUCCAGACUAGGCCCCUGUUCCCCCUGUGGAGGCUGGAGCCCCCAUGAAAAUAAAAAUAUUACGAGGAUGCCAAAGUAUUCUUAACAAAUCCCUUCGGCCAAACUAAAAUUAAAAAAAAAGGGGCACCAAAUGGUAGGCAAUUGAGGUUGGUGGUUCUUCUUUCUAUUAUAUAUCUUGCUUGUAUAUUGCUCAAAUUGGGUAAACCUUUGUGCCUUUAUUAGUUACACAGCAUUCAGUAUGCAUAUAAUCAUACAUUUGGCCAAAUCCGGUUUCUUAAUUGUUAUAAAAAAAUUACAGCAAUUAUUGAUGAAUUUUAUAAUAGGAAAGAAACUAGAAAAAAAAUACACCACCUAGACUAUUUUUACGGGUCCUAAAGUUAACGACCAUGUAAGCCUUCAAUAACCUUGAAAUUUAUGAGACUCGAACGGGUGAUAUCUAAAUAGCAAAUCUAGAAUCUAAUCACUUGAGUUAUCAUUCAUGAUUCGAUAAUAUAUUUUAAUUCAUAGGCGCGAGGAAUUCUAGGCCAAGAAAAUCUAGACACCUUGGAAAAUGUAAAUUACAACACGAAACCAACAAGAAAAUAAAAUGGAAAUGAAUAAAAAGAUGGGCAUUUUAUUAAGUUGUGUGGAUAAGAUGAUGCAUGUGCUCCCAUUAUAUGAUGUGGCUCACCAUCUUCACGGCAUGAAUCUGCACAUUCUUGCACCAGAAAGUGAUGUGCACCUUCAUUGUAAUUCAUGAAUAUAAUCAUUUUAAGAAGCCAGGGGUCAAAUUUGUGGGUUCACCAAACAUGUGAAGCUGAUAAUUAAGGGAAAUUAAGGAAAGAUGAUUACUUCUUUGAUGCUUUAAUUAGCAAUUGAAAAUCUUAUUGUAAGCCCUCAAGCUUAACUACAACAUUUGCAAUAACAGUCCAACAAUUAACCACCUUUUGUGUACAAUACAGGACUAUGAUUAUGGAAAUAAAAUUAAUUGCCAUUUAAUAAUUUUCUUUAUACAAAAAAAGGAGGAUUAUGCGUUGGCCAAAAGGGCAUUUGGGAUCCUAGAUAGCAUGCCAUGGAGUAUGGACCAUCUGUGUAUCUUUCCGAUGAGAUCACGGUGGCUUCAAACUGAUUUUUUACUAUAAUAUGAUGUGAACAUGAGAGAAAAUCUGUGAAAAUCCGGCUUGAUUUGGUUCCAUAUUUUCCCAAUAUAGACAUUCUUUUGGGAUUAUGGUCUAAACAGAAAUUUGCUAAAAAUAAAAAAAUAUUUUAAAAAUCAAGUACCAGUAAACUCUAAAAUAUCCGUAAAGCUACCUUUCAGUUUUGGCGUAGACAUUUCUAUACAAGGCAUUUUAUUAGCACAUAAAUGGACAUGGGAGCUGCUUCUUUCCCAUACCAAGAAUAUAUGAAGUUUUCAAAUCCAUCCAUCCAUCCAUCCAUCCAUCCUUGUGCUAUCUGCCAAUUGCCUUUUUGUCAUCCAUUUUAAAAUAUUAAUUUGCCUUUAUCUCCAACUUUUUUAAAAAUAUUAUUCCUAGGAUGAAGAAUCAAAAUCUUCCUCAUAUUCAGAGAGUAAAGUUUAAGAAAAUAGAAAAACAAUUCUCCAUUUUAGAUACUUUUAAAAAUACUCUGGCUAAAAGUAUAAUUUUUUUUUUCAUUGGCUAGAAUUUGCAGCUUGUAUCAUGCACACAAACAUUCCAUUGAACUUGUUGGUUUAACUGUUCCUGCUAGAUAUUUUUUACGAUGCUUUCAGAUCAUUUUAAUAUGUUGAUGUCAAAAAUAAUUUUUAAAAAAUAAAAAAAUAUUAUUUUGAUGCAUUUCCGAGUAAAAAACAUUUUGAAAAGCAACUGCAACCACACUUCCAAACACGCUAGUCUAAUGAGUUUUUUUUUUAAUAAAUAUUUUGUUAGGGUUUUUUUUAAAUUAUUCUAUCCAUUUUUUUAACUAUAAAUCCCUAUUCAAGAUAAUAUUUUUUUAUUUAAAAUGACAAAGUUUUCUCCUUUUCUUUUCCAAAUUCAAAUAACAAGAGGAGAAAGGUCUAUCGUUCUAUAAUUUAUUUAUCAUAAUUGUUUGCCCCUUACGGUAAAAGUCACGGGCUUAGGUUGCAGUUGGCGGAACAUAUUUUUAAAGCAUCCAAUAGAGAUGUGCCACCUAACGGGAAGCACUGUGUUUACAUUGACGUGGCUGUUUCUAAUUCGCCAGUUCAAAUGUUUUUCUAAUUACACGAUCAUAACUUUGUUAGAAUAGAAUACUUUAUGAUCAAAUACUGGUCGAUCGCUCGUGAAGUGGGACCUAGUAAAGCCGCGCCCCGUGGGCCUCAACCAGAAAUCCAAAGCUGGCUGGUUCGGUACCGAACCAUCCAUUUGAAUUUUUUGAACGUUGAAGCCACCCGGUUUCUACUAGGUCACCUGGCAAGGCAGGACGCACGAUGCCAUGCUGCGGUAUUUUUUGAAAUUUAAUUUUAUGAUAAUUAAAAUAAAUAAAAACUUUAUCAUCAUCUAAAAAAAGUUUUAUAGAGAGUGUUCACCUGACAAAUGAUAUAUCAAUAUAAAUACGGUGGAUUUUUUUCUUCAUAAAAGGAUAAUAUGACGUGGAUGCAAUGUUCAGUAUGAGAUAACCAACCAGCAUUUUAUUUUUCUUUUGUUCUUUUUUAUUUUUGAAAAAAAAACAAAGCUAUCAGCGUGCUUAAUUUUAGCCAAAGUAAUGAGUAAUAUCAUUAGGUGAUCUGAACCGAUAAGAGCUACGGAAUUCCGAUCCAAAUACAGUGAACGUAAUGACAUGUCAGGCGGCGUUUGGUUAAUUCGAUCAUGAUGAAACUCCACAUAAACUGGUUGGCAACCGUUUUCAACCACCAUUCCGCUAUCUGAAAAUUACCCGCCGCCUAACAAUUGGGGGCCGUUUUCAUGUAACAUUUGGCUGUAUUACACGCAUGGAAUAUAUAUAUGGUUGCUUUUCAACUUUGUACUUGCUUAAAGAUUGUGAUUGUGGUGAAGGAUUUUUAUUUUUAUUUGUUUAAAGCUGGUUUGUUUUAGUGUUUUAUAAAAAUAUUUUUAAUUUAAAAAAAUAUUAAUUUUUUUAAUGUUUUACAAUAAUUUUGAGGUAUUGAUGUUUAUUUUUUUUCCAUAUUGUUUUAAUUUCUUUUUAACAUAUUUGUAGAUAAAAAACUUUUUUAAAAAAAUUUCAAAAGUAGAGGGAAUUACACUCUCAAACAAUUGAGUGUCAUUUUCAUGUAACAUUUGGCUGCAUUAGACGCAUAGAAUAUAUAUGGUUGCUUUUCAACUUUUUACUUUCUUAAAGAUUAUGCUGGAGCUCUUUUUUUUUUUUUGGUGACGUGCUAAUAAAAAAAAAUUUAAAAAUUAUUUAAGUAAAAAAUACUUUAAAACAAUAUUAAAAAAUAAAAGCCACCGACUCUCCCAACCAAUAACCUAUGAGCAGAUAAAUUUCUUUUAAUUAGUUAUCUGUUUACUUUUACUUUGAUUCCAAAGAAAAAUUUGUGGUCGGAGGAGGAGCUCUCUAUUUUUAUGAGAUUUCGCGUCAUUCAAGCUUCAGUCACAAAAAAUGAUAAAAGGUGCCAGAUUCACAAAUGUAGGAAUAGUUAUGGUCCAAAUAUACUGGACUAGCCUCUCUCUUUUUUCUUGGUGCUGAAUUAGAAAAUGGAAGCUGAGUUCAAGCUGAGAGUGACCUUGGAUUUAUUUGUCAAGACUCACCUCUUUUCCAAUCUAAAGAGUUCCUGACUAGCCCAAUUUCCCUAAAUUCAGGAGCAUGACUCGGUGGCCGGAGCUUCUGCUAGUCGCAUGGGAAUAUAUUGCAUUUGGGAUUUCAGUAAGCUUAGGACAAACUUAUGAACCUGGCACCAUUAUGUGUGAGAGAGUCAUUGAGAUGGACCGACACACCGCCCACCUACUUUCAUAGCAAUGAGGUUUUGAAUUUUUGAACGGUUUUGUCCUUUUUAAAUUUUGAACUCCGAUCCAGUGGAAGGAAGGAUCUCUGUUUUAUUCUUUAGAUUGGCCACCAAAAUAAACAAUUAUUCAGUCGAUAUUUCAUUUAUCUUAAAAAUCUUGUAAUUUAAUUACACUUGUAAUUGUAAAGAUUUAAUUAUGGAGGUGAAAGGCAAGCCGGGCCAGCAUCAAAUUCGAUAGAUAAACAACUUUUUAUUGUUUUAUUCAAUUUGAAUGGUUUGAUACGAUACUUACAACAUUGUAAUCCUAAACUUUUCUAUUAUAUAUAAUAAAAUCUAAAACAACCUAGUAAUUAUUUGUGUAAAUAUAAUAAAACAAAUAAGAAGAUAAGACUUUACCUUGAGAACGUUUGCAUCGUGUUUUUAAAAAAUUUAAUUUUUUUUGUUAAAAAUUAAUUUUUUUUAUGUAUUUUGGAUUGAUUUUUAUGCGUUGAUCUCAAAAAUAAUUUUUAAAAAAUAAAAAAUAUCAUUUUGAUACAUUUCGACAUAAAAAACACUUUAAAAAACAACCGCAACCCUCACUUCCAAACAAAUUUUAUACAAAAGGUUAUAGUUAGAUUUCUUUCUAGUGUUAAAUAGCUGUGGCAGUGGUUAUUUUUUAAGUAAUUUUUACUUAAAAAAUAUAAAAGUAUUUUUUUAAAAUUUUUUAGAUUAAAAUAAUAGAAAAAAAUAAUAAUAAUAAUUUAAUCUUAAAUAAAGAAAUUUAAUUUUUUAAUAAACUCGCAGCUACGUUGCCAUGCAAGAUCUAAAAACAUGGACUCGCAAAAUAACUCUAGCCUCUUAUUCAAAAGAGAGCUAGUUCUCACGCCACUCGAAUUGACUGGGUCUAUAACCCAAGCUAAAAGAGCGUGAAAAACACACUCCAAUCCUUUAAUCAGAAAGUUAACAACCUUGAUCAUGCACGCGCUGCUAAAAUCACCUGAAGCACGAUGGCAGUGAUCGUGUUUAGAAGCCAAGAGGUUCGGAGACAGGUACGGGAGAAGUAGCUUAUGAGGAGUGAAGUGGGCAGGGGGGAGAGAGAGAGAGAGAGAGUCCACUACUGAUACCAUCCAUCUAUAAAGCAAAGUCAUAAAAAGAGAGAGGAGGGUAGCUCUCUUUGUUUGUAGAAGAAGGAAGAAAAAAGAAAAAUAAAAACUGAAAAGCAGAAAAAAAAAGCUAAUGGAGAAUGUGAUAUCUCUCUCUCUAGAGGUUUUAGCAUCAAACUAACCUCUUAAAAAAUAUACAUCGAACGUCCUCCUCAUCCUCCCGUCCUUUUCUAUAUCUCUCUUCUCCGAUCAAUCUCUGUUUUUUUCAAUUUGUUUCAGCUCCAACAGACUAAAAUAGAGACCGGUUUAAUAGUAAGAAAGAGGGAAAUAGAUAGCAGCAUACGUAACAUUAAUUUGCGACAGAAUGGCUGGUGAAGGAGGAACAUUGUCUUUUUCGGUGGCGUCCGUAGUGGAGGAUGUGCUGCAGCAACAUGGUAAUAGACUCGGAGAUCUCGAUUUGGAGUCCAGGAAAGCUGAAGAAGCCGGUAGUUUUUUUUUCCUUUUUCUUUCCAUUGCAAUAGAACAAUUCAUUUUCUCAGAAUUGUCUAUGGGAAGUGUUAAUUUUGUUGAGAUUUCUUGCUGUUAGCAUCAAGAAGGUAUGAAGCUGCGGGGUGGUUGAGAAAGAUGGUAGGAGUGGUUGCAGCUAAAGAUUUGCCAGCAGAGCCAUCUGAAGAAGAGUUUAGGCUUGGAUUGAGAAGUGGAAUCAUUCUUUGCAAUGCUCUCAAUAAGAUACAACCCGGGGGUGUGCCUAAGGUGAUGCCAAUUUUCCUUCUCUCUGUUUUUUUUUCUUCUUACAAAUAAUAAUUGUUGGACAUUAGUGAUUAAUUAAAUUUUAAUUAUUUUAGGUCGUGGAGAGUCCAUGCGAUGCUGCUCCUAUACCCGAUGGAGCAGCAUUAUCUGCAUUUCAGUACUUUGAAAAUGUAAGAAAUUUCCUUGUAGCGGUACAGGAGAUGGGGAUUCCUAAUUUUGAGGCAUCUGAUCUGGAACAAGUAUGUAUUGCAUUUACUAUAUGCAAGUGAUGCUUUGCUUGGAAUUAGAUAUGGAGAGCUUGAUUUGUCUAACUCUGAUUCAUUUCAUUGUAUUUCCUAGGGAGGAAAAUCGGCAAGGGUUGUGAAUACUGUUUUGGCACUUAAAUCAUACAGUGAGUGGAAACAAACUGGUGGAAAUGGGAUUUGGAAAUUUGGUGGAAAUGUAAAACCGCCAGUGUCAGCCAAGUCUUUUGUAAGAAAAAAUUCGGAACCAUUCAUGAACUCAUUAUCCAGGAACUUGUCAAUAAAUGGAAAAUCUUUCAACUCCCUGUCCAGUGAUCUUGAGUACUCUAAUAAAAUGGUUGGUAAGCUUAACUGAUUUUAAAUUCAAGCACUUGCUUGCUCAAUCAGCUUCAGAUUUAUGUCUUAUUUUUUUUUUUUUCAUUUUCCCCCUCAUUUCUAGUCUGGGUCUGGUUCCUUGAGCAUGCUUGUUCGUGCUGUUUUGUUGGAUAAGAAGCCAGACGAAGUUCCAAUGGUAAGAAUCUAUGCGCUCAUUGCUGCUGCAUUAUAUUAACAUUUUGAGGAACACACCCGCGUCUUGAGGCUGCCAAUCUGCCUCGGUAUAGAAUACUUGCUGAUGGGUUGAUUGUCGAUCGCAUUUCCUCAAUUUCAAAAACUUAAAACCCAAAUUUGCUGACCUCAAAUACUACCAACCCUUAGAAUUUGCAAGUACCUUUAACGUUGAUUUUACAUGUUCUCUGCUUGCAAUAGUUGGUGGAAUCAGUGCUCAGUAAGGUUGUGGAGGAAUUUGAGAGUCGCAUUGCAAGCCAAUAUGAUAUGGUAUGCCAGCUGAUCAUUCAAAACUAAUGAGUUUGCAGAAGAUAAGUAUUUGUCUAACUAUUUGUUUAUGCAACUGUAUUGUAUGUUAUAGGCAAAGGAAGCUCCUAAAGAAAUAGCCAUCUCUCAGGGAAACAAGUUUUUGCUGAAAUCUACUGGUGAUAAUAAAAGGGUAAUCUCUUAAUCUUCAUCUACUGAAUAGCGAAAGGCCUCCUAAGUUCGAGAAUGUUAUCAAGACAAUGAGAAAGUACUACCAGUGUGAAGCCUAUGAUGCUUUUAAUUGUAGGAUAAAUUCUAAGGGGUUCAUGUCUGUUGUUGAAAUCAUGUAGACUGAAGACAAAAAUGUCAGAUUGAUAAAGAAAGAGGAAUGCUUUCAUAAAAACCAAAUUGCAGAGGAGGAAUUAAAAAAUAAAACCCAGAAACAGCAAAUGAUCUUUGAUAAACAACAAAGAGAUAUUCAGGUACGACUGAUUGUAAUUCUUUUCCACUAUUUUCUUUUUCGGAUUAAUAAACUAGAGUGCUCCUCCUAAUUAUUCCUUGCUGCAGGAAUUAAAAAACACGCUUAGUACAACAAAAGCUGGUAUGCAGUUUAUGCAAAUGAAAUUUCAUGAGGAGUUUAACAGUCUUGGUAGGUACUCAGGAAGAAAUUUGAUUUUACUUUUGGUUAUUUAGGAAUGUUCCUUUUUGGUGGAUGAGCAUGGCCGUUGUAGGGGGCAACGUUGAUUAAGCAUUCUUUCUAUCUAAGUUUGGAGUUCUUGUCUUUCAACGUAGGGAUGCACAUCCAUGGUCUAGCUCAUGCUGCUUCUGGCUACCAUAAGGUUCUCGAGGAAAAUCGAAAGCUAUACAAUCAAGUGCAGGACCUAAAGGGUCAGUUACACUUUCCCACAAGAGAUUAGGAAUCAUGUUUUUCUUUACAAUGUAUCUAAGCCCUAAUAUUUGUUUUGACCAGGGAGUAUUCGGGUUUAUUGUCGAGUGAGACCAUUUUUGUCUGGACAAUCAAACGAUUUGAGCACUGUGCAUAGCAUAGAAGAUGGGAAUAUUACUAUUAGCACCGCGUCAAAACAUGGAAAAGGAUGCAAGUCCUUUAGCUUCAAUAAAGUCUUUGAACCAUGUGCUACCC
rnacentral:lncRNA from 1 species